UUUUUAGAAGUAUUACGAAUAGUUCUCACACUCUAAAUAAAUACUUAAAAUUUAUUAAUUUUCUCUAUUUGAGUACAAAAAUUAAAUUUAGACAAAAUUAAGGCUAGAUUUGUUCACAUCGUCCAAAUUGUGGUCUAUCAUCUCGUAAUUGUGAUGUCUUUAGCCUCUUUUAUCUUUGGAAAAAUGAAUUAUUUUUUAUAUUAAAGUCUUAUUAUAGUUUUUGCCAGAAAUACCUUUUUAUAAUUGUACUUUUUUGCAUCAGCUUUGUCUUUUGGGAAUUAAAUACGAUCUUAAAGGAAGUAUUUUAUUAUGUCACUUUUUUAAUAUUUAUAUAUUAAUUAGAUUUAAAAAUAAUAAUAUUUUCCCCUUACCGUUCUUAUUUCCUUGUCCUUAUUCUCUUCCUGUUGGUGUGUGAUUGAAUGAAUACAUGAACGAACUGCAGACUUCCUCCCCUUCUCCUCCACACCUGAAUCCAAACCCCUCUCUACAAACCCACACUGGAGAACCGAAAACUAGAGGAAACUCGAAUCCCAAAGUUUCUUCCUUCAUCGUUGAUGCUUCGCCAUCGCUACAGGCUCAGAUCACAAACGGGGUAAACUUCUUUCUCCUUGGGUUUGGAUUACUUUCAAAGCCAUCACUCUAUUUCGGGUUCCAAGCACUGUGUGUGUGAAGAAAGGGGUAGCAUGUCCAUUACUGUUCUUGGGUUGUCGUGCAGUGAUAAUUCUUCUCUUAGGUUUUUUGUUCUCCGGGUUGUUGCAGUCUCCGACGGCACCAAUUCCUUUCUCUGCUGUUCCAUGCAAAAGUUCUUUUCUGCUUUUUCUAAUUCAUGUGGGGGGUACUCUUCAGAUUUUGUGAUUGAGUGAGCUCACGGCGGAUUUGGGGUAUAAAGCCUCAAGCUUAUUAGUUGUCAAUGGAGAACACUAGUGUCUUUACCUACUCUGCCGUUUUGCAUGUUACAUUUUCCAGCAAUGCACCGUCGAGGUAGUGACAUUGCCUUCUUUCUUUUUCCCCCCUUUGUUGUCCGUCUCUUCUGAUCAAUGUUCUCUCCAUUCACUGUGAUUGUGGGGCUGAAUUUGUCGAUUGUUUGUUUUGUUUCCUGUGUCCUAUUCAGUUUACGGCUGGAGUAUCAAGCUGUGAUGGCCGGUCGGAUUUAUAUAAUAAAGGAAUCGUUUUGUUUUUGGCUCUUCCCUUUGUUUAUGGUUUUAUAAGUAGAGAUUCUUAGUUAGAUGAUCCUCUUUAAACUGUCUAGGCUUAGUCAGGUGAAUCUAUCUGGCCCUGACUUUCCUUGCUUAGUUAUGACUUAUGAUUGUUUACUGGUUAGUUCUUCCUACAUCAGGAGAUCAAUUAGGAUUCCUCGUGGAGUUCAUCGGUUUUACCAGUCAUGCAAUGUUCUUGAGUAGCUUGAAGAGUCCAAAAAUAUAGCAUGUGCAUUUAGUUGUGACUUAUUAAUUAAUUGGGUUAUUAGUUAAUUGGGUGUUUCAGGUUUUAAUUGUUGGUUGUAAGUUGAAUUUUGAGGAGAGCAUCUGUAAGAAGAGUUCUUGGUUGGCCUCAGCUGAGUUUACGAAUGGUCGGCCUGGAAUGAGUUUAAACUGUUGAAUGGGGAUAUAGAUAAUGGGCUCUAAUGGUGAUGGUAGGGGUAACGGUAAUCAGUCUCAUUUGCAGCCGUUGGGCCGGCAGAACUCAUUGUACAACCUCACUCUGGAUGAGGUUCAAAAUCAGUUGGGUGACUUGGGGAAACCCUUCAGUAGCAUGAAUCUGGACGAACUUCUUAGAAAUGUAUGGACAGUUGAGGCUAACCAUGUUACGGGUGCAGAGGCCGAAGGCACUCAGAUGGCUGAUAAUCAAACUUCCUUGCCGCGGCAGGGAAGUUUGUCAAUAGCUGGUGCUUUGAGCAAGAAGACAGUUGAUGAAGUUUGGAGAGACAUUCAACAAAGCAAAAAUAAUGGGGAGAAAAUGUCUAAAGACAGACAUUCCACUUUGGGGGAGAUGACAUUGGAGGAUUUCCUUGCCAAGGCAGGAGUUGUUGGUGACGAACCUAUCCAUGAUAAUGAUAAUAAUAGAGACGUUGCUAUUGCCGGUUCUGAUUCAAAUUUAGCAGCAUGGUUUCCUCAACAAGGUCAAUGGUUGCAGUAUCCACAUGCACAAUUCCAACAUCCACAGGCUAAUGUUAUGGGGAUGUUCAUGCCAGGUCAGCCUGUUCCUCAGCAAGUCCAUAUGGGGGCUGCUUCUGUGAUGGAUGUUGCAUAUCCGGAGAAUCCAGUUCCAAUAGCUCCACCACCUUUAAUUGGGACAUUGUCGGAUUCACAAAUGGCUUCCAGGAAAAGAGGUGCACCAGAUGAAAUAGUUGUGAAGAAUGUGGAGAGGAGGCAGAAGAGGAUGAUAAAAAACCGAGAAUCAGCUGCCCGAUCUAGAGCUCGGAAACAGGUCUGGUUUUUUUUUUUGAAUCUUUCGAGUAGAUUAUGGUGCUUUAUAACAUUUUGUUUGUUUUAGUUAUCUCAUGUUGACAUAGUUUAAUCGGCAAUUCAGGCAUACACAAAUGAGCUAGAGAAUAAAAUUUCUCGCCUGGAAGAGGAAAAUGAAAGGUUGAGGAAAUUAAAGGUCAGUUUGUAUUAGAAUUCUGUCCUGCUUCAUUUUGCUUGACUUUAGGUGAUUUAGGUGAUUAUUAAUGAGGGGAUUAGAGCAUACAUUUAGUGAAUAAUCUUUGUAAUUUGCUUGAGGAAAAUGAGAACUUGGAAUCUCUGAGUCGUUUCUAAGGCUUUUGUAUGGAAUCUCUGAGUGAGACAGUAUACUUAUGGAUCUCUUUCAACUGACUUCCGAUUGUUCUCAUUUCUGGUUACACUCAUCACAGGGAUUCUAGUUUAUAUCAUCCCUUCUUAAUUGAUUUUCAUUCAUGAACUUUUGUUGAGUUCAUGGUAACCGAAAAGUUCGUUUCUUGGCCGUGUACUUGGACUAUAUACAGAAAACUUACAUUGAUAUCAAAACGUUAUGAAAAACAAAAUGUCCAGUUACUUGUUACCGAAAACAGCAAAACCUUGUGCAGACAUGGUUAUGAAUACAAUCCUUAUUAGGUAGGCUAAGGCUAAUUCUUCGAGAGCACCAAUCCUUUCCUAAUCAGCUUUAGUAGCAUCAGUGUUCAAUAUUGGAGAAGAAUAGUUAUCAACUUAACUUCUUUCCUGUUAUGCAAUUGUGCCCAUCUACCCAAAAGGUCCUUUCUUUGCAAUUAAGGUUCUGCAUUCUGUUGACAGGCACUCUUUGAUUUGUUCUUCAUACUUGUUAAGUCUGCAAAUCCUGGUGCAUGCUUUGCUAUAGUCUGCAUUUGAAAUGUUUCCCCAAAGUAUCGUGUCAUCUUCAGUUAUUUGCUUUUGACACUACCCUUUUUUAAGUAUUGUUUCGUCAUCCAAAUGCGGAUUUGCAGGAGCUGGAGAACACAUUGCCAAGUGUACCAGCAGCACCUGAACCCAGGUAUCAGCUUCGGCGAACAUCAUCGUCCCCAUUCUAACUAACGUUUCAUCAUGUUCAGAGUCAGGUGUCCACUGCACCCUGAGCUAGUCGGGAUUUACCAAUCUGUGGCGCCAUCCUUGAAUGUCCCGAACUAAUGUUUCCUGCCCCCCAAUGCACAAGUUUUUCAAUUGAUGAUGAAAUUUGGAGAAUGCCAUUUGUGCCUGUAAGUGAAGUGAGCAGAGUAGAGGAAGAAAACAAUGUAUUUCUCAAGCAGAGCCUGUCUCAUGAGAGGUUUUCUUAUUUACUUUCAAUUCAUUUUCCGUUUUGUUUCUUCUUUGUAUCUUUGUGAAAAGUCAGUCAGGGGGUAGGAACUUGGUUUUCUUUUAUUGGCUAACAAUAUACAGUUUGUAAUUUGUUGUUUUAAUGUUGUUCCGAAAGAUGAGAAACAAGUUCUCUUUAGGCANNNNNNNNNNNNNNNNNNNNNNNNNNNNNNNNNNNNNNNNNNNNNNNNNNNNNNNNNNNNNNNNNNNNNNNNNNNNNNNNNNNNNNNNNNNNNNNNNNNNNNNNNNNNNNNNNNNNNNNNNNNNNNNNNNNNNNNNNNNNNNNNNNNNNNNNNNNNNNNNNNNNNNNNNNNNNNNNNNNNNNNNNNNNNNNNNNNNNNNNNNNNNNNNNNNNNNNNNNNNNNNNNNNNNNNNNNNNNNNNNNNNNNNNNNNNNNNNNNNNNNNNNNNNNNNNNNNNNNNNNNNNNNNNNNNNNNNNNNNNNNNNNNNNNNNNNNNNNNNNNNNNNNNNNNNNNNNNNNNNNNNNNNNNNNNNNNNNNNNNNNNNNNNNNNNNNNNNNNNNNNNNNNNNNNNNNNNNNNNNNNNNNNNNNNNNNNNNNNNNNNNNNNNNNNNNNNNNNNNNNNNNNNNNNNNNNNNNNNNNNNNNNNNNNNNNNNNNNNNNNNNNNNNNNNNNNNNNNNNNNNNNNNNNNNNNNNNNNNNNNNNNNNNNNNNNNNNUACACAAAACAAGAAAAAAACCUGCGUAUAAAUAAGUUAGGUUUUAGGUGUGGUAUCCAUCCAAAUUGAUUAUACAUUUGCAGCAGCAGCAGCAGCAGCAGCAGUAGUAGUAGUAGAGAAAUUGGAAGACAGCAAAUGAACACUUAAUUAGUUAGUGGAAGACUGUUGGUGUUGCUCUCUGAGUAUGCACUGAUAUGUUGCCUUAGAGACCUUUGUUCAUGCGCAAUCCAUCCAUCAUUUGCCUUUGCACUUUUUGCCAUGUGCCUCAACCACUCCACCAAUAGCUAACUCUGGGUUUGGAACUUCAAUCCAAUGCCUAUAAAUAGCCACUACUUCUCCUUCCACCAAUCUCCAAACCCAAGCAACUCUUAAAACAGAAACAACAUACAUACAAUGGCUAGUUACAAGCUCCGAGGAGCAUUCUUCUUUCUUUUUGUGGGUUUGGGGAUCGCCUCAGCUGCUAGAGCCCUUUUCACGUUUGAUGCGGGGAUAGUCGGUCAUGUUUCCGGUUCCGGGUAUGGUGCUGGUCAUGGUGGUGGAAGUGGGGGUGGUUAUGGAAAUGUUGCCGGGUUAAUAGGAGGAGGAGGUGGUGGUGGUUCUGGAGGUGGAGGUGACGGUGGAGGUGCUGCUGGUGAGCAUGGUGGUGGUGUUGGAGCUUACGGAGGAGGUAGUGGUAGUGGAGAAGGAAGUGGUGCUGGUUAUGCUGGAGGUGUAGCUGGAUAUGGUGGUGGAGGCGGAGGAGGAGCUGGAGGUGGCGGUGGUGGUGGAGGAAGUGACCAUGGUGCUGGUGCUGGGUAUGGAAGUGGUGGUGGUGAGGGUGCUGGCGGCGCUUAUGCUGGAGGUGGUGCACAUGCUGGGGGAGGCGGCGGAGGAAGUGGAGGUGGCGGUGGAGGAGGUGCUGGUGGUGGUGGAGUAGCAGCGGGAGGAGGUGCUGGUGGAUAUGGUGGAGGUGGAGGAAAAGGAGGUGGCGGUGGUGGCGGAGGAGACACUGGUGCUGGAGAGUCUCAUGGGGGUGGAUCGGGAUAUGGAGGAGGGGAAGGAGCUGGUCACGGUGGUGGAGCUGGAUAUGUUGAAGGAGAAGGAACCGGUCAUGGUGGUGGAGCUGGAGCUGGUGGUGUAGGUGGUGGUGGUGGAAGCGGAGGUGGUGGCGGAGGUGCCGGUGCAGGUGCUGGAGAGGCACAUAGAGGUGGAUAUGGUGGUGGUGCGGGAGAAGGACGGGGGCGGUGGGGAGGGUGCGUGUGAAGGGGGGGGAAGUGGAGGGGGCGCACCCGCAGCCGGUGGUGGCUGUUAACUUUUCUUUUAAUAAAUCGUUGAAAUUGCCGGAUUUUAUUUGCCAUACACAAGUGAUCAAAUACAGUACAAGCACUGAAGUUGCAGUCUACGCAAUUUAUUCAUAGAUGGGAUUUUUUUUACCAUAUACGAUAAACAGUGAUGAAAGUGCCGGGUGGGAUCGAUCGAUGUUCGAUGCAUCAACCGACUUUAACAAGGCCAACAUCAGUCUCCUUGGUAAGAUCGAUCAUGAAAUCCAGGUACUUGGUUGGAGGCGGGAAACUCGGGUCCAGCUUCUCGUACUCAAUGGCCAGCUUUGCCACUCCACCGGGCCCUCCACUUUUCGUCACGAACUCGAAAAUCGGAUUGUACACUUUAUAUAUCUUCAUCACAUCUCCUUCUAAGCCGUUCAGUUUCACGAUCUUAUUCUGCUCGUCGAACUCCACCCUCUCCUUGAACACCUCCGCCUUCCCCUCUUUUGUUCGUCCGAUUACAUAAAUAACAUAUAUAAACUCAUAUUAUCAGAAAUCUAUAUACACCAAGACUACAAAACAUCGACUUUUUGUGACCAUAUUGUUUGUCACAAAAGUACAAACUGUAUCAGAUAAUAAUUAAAAAGACCUUUCUUGACGGAAACUUAAACUGUCACUAAUAUACAUGAUUUAAUUAGAUUGAUGCUAUACUGAGUCUGUAUUUUAUUUUAUCAUAAAUGGACUAAUUUGUACUUAAUAAAUAAAUUUAUUUUCUAUUUUACUAAAAUAACUUUUAUUAUAUUAGUUAUCAACACGAUUAGAGUUUUAUGAAAAGCGAAUCGAUAAAAAAACAUAUUUUUAAGAUGCUUGCUAAAAUCAUAAAUUUUCUGAAAAAUUAGAAAAUUUUGUAGCUACCACUAAUAAUUAAUACGAUAUGAGUUAUUUUAACAAAAUAAUAAAUUUAUAUUUUGUUAAAAGUAUAAUAAUAAUUUUUUCAACUACGCGAAAUAAAAUUUAGACUAUAUAUAAAAAUAGACUUUAUCAUCAGAGAAUCUAUAUAUAGUCAUAAAGAUAUCAACACUACAAAAGAAGAGACUUUUUUGCGACCACGAAAACUGUCACCGAAGAAUAAAUAUGGAUUCGAAAAUUAUUAUGUGACUGCUACCAGUUGCUGUCCCAAAUAAUUAAAUUCCUUUUGUGACCAUUUUGGAGUCUCCAAAAUGUUAUCAGUCACCCAUUAUUUGUCUCCUCACUAAUAACUUGAUUUCUUGUGGUGCAAAUAACUACAACUUGUGUAUACUAUUGUAUGCAUAGUAUGAAUUACGUACCACAGGUGUAGUUCCAGAUCUUGAUGCCGUCGUGACUGUCCCAGUCGCCGUGGUGGCACUUGACAGCCUGAAUAUUGGAAGGAGUGUGCGUUGGGAUGUGGUGAGCUGCUUUCCUGAACACGUUAAAGAACUCCGCCGGCGGAGAUUUCAGCUCCACCUCCGCCUCCAGCUUCCCGCUCAUCUCCGAUGUUGCUGCCAUAGCCGCCGCUGAUAUAUAAUGUUAAUUUCCAACUUGAUUUGUGUUUAUGAAUUAUGAGUACUACGUAGCUAGCCUGACAAUAAUUUAUUUAUAGAGUAGUGGGGAUAACCCUAGCAUGAAUGAAUAAUACUAUUUUAUUUAACCACACGAGGCAAUAGUUUUUGUUCAUCAUUACAAAUGAGGGAAUAGUAAUACGUGUUAUGGUGUCAAUAUCUUCAUAUAUAUUUCAAUUUGGUGACGUUUAACCUGCUACGAUUUGCUAACCAAUUUGAUUUCCUCGCAUCACUAAUUAAUACCUAAUCUACCAGAAUUCGAUCUAGAAUGGUCGAUCCAGAAUUUGAAUCCGUCUGGUUUGAGCUUGUAUCAUUCCAUAGUAGAGCUGCUCAUGAAUAAUCAGAGAGAAUAAUCAAACCUGUUUUGGCUGGUGAAAAUGGAUACAAAAUCAAGUUUCAUUAUGCUAACCCCUAUAAAUAAUGAUCAAACGUAGUUAAAAAUUUAAUUCUACUCGAAGGAAUUUUAACAUGUUGAANNNNNNNNNNNNNNNNNNNNNNNNNNNNNNNNNNNNNNNNNNNNNNNNNNNNNNNNNNNNNNNNNNNNNNNNNNNNNNNNNNNNNNNNNNNNNNNNNNNNNNNNNNNNNNNNNNNNNNNNNNNNNNNNNNNNNNNNNNNNNNNNNNNNNNNNNNNNNNNNNNNNNNNNNNNNNNNNNNNNNNNNNNNNNNNNNNNNNNNNNNNNNNNNNNNNNNAAAUAUUAAUCAAUUUAAUUUCUAUGCCAAAUUUGUCAAAUUCCAAAGUGGUUAACCUAUGGAAAUCGACCAUUUUUGCAAGAAAAUUUCAAAUCGACUAAUAUUUGGCAUGCAUGUUGAAAAUGAAUAAAAAUCAAGUUUCAUUAUGGUAACCUCUAUAUAUAAUGAUUAAAUAUAGUUAGAAAUCAAUUUUACUCGGUGUAAUUUUAGCAUGUUGAAAAAAAAGUUAACAGGCUAUUAUUUAGAGAAUUGUACAUGGUGAAACCUCAAUUUUUAGCCAUUCCCAACAUGUAUGUCAAAUAUUAACCAAUUUAAAAAAAAUUAGGAGAUAGAUAGAAAAAAUUGAUUGUAUUUAUUAUAGUGCAAAAUGUGAGAGUUUGUAACAUAUUGACGUUCGGAUAAUGGAAGGUAGUUUUUCAAUUCGUUUUUUUGUUUGGUAAUUGACUUUUGACCGGGUCCUGGGAUCGAUACAGUACAAGCUCCAGUACUUGAUGUACCCGGCCCGAUUGAUUCAUAAUCCGACUUUUAUAGGAGAAAAUGUUUUUGUCUCAUCGUGAGACAUAAAACCUUUUUCGCAAGCAACACGACUUUUAAUGACAGCACCAAGAGAGAAACACACACUGACACUCUGACUGAAUGAAGCAAAUACCAUAAACGUCUAUGAGAGUGAUCGAUCGAUGAGCAUCAACUGACUUUAACAAGGGCAACAUCAAUCUCCUUGGUAACCUUGAUCAAUAGAUCCAAGUACUUGGUUGGAGGUGGGGAACUCGGGUCCAGCUUCUCGUACUCAAUGGUUAGCUUUGCCACCCCACUGGGCCCUCGACUUUUCGUCACGAACUCAAAAAUCGCAGUGUACACUUUGUAUAUCUUCAUCACAUCUCCUUCUAAAGCAUACAUUUUCACGAUCUUGUUCUGCUCGUCGAACUCCACCCUCUCCUUUAUCACCUCCUCCUUCCCCUCUUCGUUUUGUUCAAUACAGAGAAACAAAUUUCGUUACAUAUGUACGGAUGAACAAGGUCAUGAAUUUUUUUUAAAAUAGCUAGUAUAUAUAUAUCAGGUGUAGUUCCAAAUUUUGAUUGCGUCGGGACUCUCCCAAUCGCCCUAGUGGCACUUGACGACCUGAAUAUUGGAGGGAUUGUGUGUUUUCAAGUGGUAAGCUUCUUUCCUGAACACGUUAAAAAAACUUUGCCGGCGGAGCCUUCAGCUCCACCUCCGCCUCCAGUCUCCCGCUCAUCGCCGCCAUCCAACUUAUUAUGUAAUAACUUAGGCUUAGUUUGUAUUACAGAAGUGACUAUGUAUAUACUUACGUAGUAGCUAGGCUAGCAAUUAUUGAAUUUGUAGACUAAAUUGGGGGAUUAAUAUUUAAUACAUAGCAUGUUAUAAUAGUAACCCAACGAGGCAACAGUGUUAUCAUUAUUAUAGUUCAAAAUUUGACUUAUUGUUUCACCUACUAAGAUUUGCUGGCCCAUUUGAUUUCCUUGGUACCUUGCAUAAUCAAUUCAUAAUUUAAUACCAAACCUACAUAUAUAUAUUUUUAUUCUGUCAUUUUACUACUAUUUUGUGUAGAUGACUCACUUUCACAAUAAUGUUCUAGAUAUAUAUUAGCAUUUUCUUUUGAAAAAAUAAUCAUUAUAAGAUUAAAUAUUCUAUUACGAAUUUGUGAUAAUUUAUGGGCUUUUAUGAUCCGUCGAUUUUUUUUUAGUAAAAUCAAGAUGUCAAAAUCGAAACAAUAAUUCAAAAUUUCUCCAUCCCCUUUUCCCCAUCCACCUCCAUCCGCCCACUGUUCCACCGCCACGUAUCCCUUUAAUGGUGAUACAUUGUAAUGGGUCUUUCACUCGUAACUCCCUAAAAGCGGCUUAUGGAAUUGUCGUUACAAACAAUUCAGGAGUAGUGACGGACGGAAGGGCCGGGACAUUCCACUGCUCCACUCCCAUUGUUGCCAAAGCUCGUGCCAUUUUCGAGGCCGCCAUCAUUACAUUGUACAUCCCGCUGAAUUGCCAUAUCUUCUCCGACUGCAAGGAGCUGGUACUUGCUACCAAAGAGCCCAAACACCGAUGGGCAUGGCUUUGCUACGGCACCCUUGGUCGCAUCUCAUCACUGUUACUAAUUUUAAAUUGCUGCAUAUAAUACACACAUAUAUAUAUAUAUCACUUAUAAAAAAAAAGUGUUGCCUGUUUAAUUUUUGGCAUUUUACAACGUGAUUAUAGGAAAAUAUAGUUUUAGGGAUUACAAUUAUUGGAACGUUUCACUAAAAUGAUCCAUGAACAAUUAAAUCGUUUUAAACCAUUAGUGACCGUUUAAGGAUUUUGGGACCGUUUUUAUGCAAUUUGUAAAACUCCAUUUUCUUUGUAACACUGCAGUAUCCUCAAUAUUGUCAUAUAUUGUGUUUGAACACAAGAUCGAUUUAGUAAAUAUGGUACAAGGAGUGAUCAAAGUGCUUCAACGACAUUACACAUACCUUCAGAGUAUUUAUUCAUAGAUCAAGCAAAGAAAACAACAUUAUCUUAAUGAUCAAACGGCUUUAACAAGGCCAUCGUCAGUUUCGUUGGUAAGGCUGAUCAUGAAAUCCAUGUACUUGGUCGGAGGUGGGGAACUGGAGUCCAGCUUCUCAUAUUCGAUGCUUAGUUUUGCGACUCCGCCGCCGCGGCCGCCUCCUUCUUCUUUGCCGGACACGAGCUUGAACAUGGGAUUGAAUACUUUGUAUAUCUUCAUCGGAUCUCCUUCUAACCCAUUCAGUUUAAUGGUUUUUUCCUCAUCGUCGAACUCCACCCUCUCCUUCAACACCUCUGCCUUCCCCUCUGUUGUUUAAUCCCAACCAAAUUAAAAAUCAAGGAUAUCAAAAUAUUUAAUCUAAUGUUUGUGUGUUCGAAUCUCAACAACUCCCAAUAUUAACAGUUGAUUUAAGCAUAAUGUAUGGUGGGUCUUUGCAAACUUCAAGUUCGCGAUCUGGUUCUCGUUGUGAGGUUGUGUAAGAGAAUGAUAUAAAAACUACAAUUUAUCUCCUAAUAUCAACUCAAAUUAUUGAGAUGCAACAAUUCAUGUCGGUUCUAAUAUUAAACUUUCUAAUGUUUCAUACUUAAUUAAAAUGUCAUUUAUUGUACAUUUUAAAUUUUAGGUAAAUCAAUCUGUCAUUUUGUAUCCAAAUCACUCUAAGAAUUUUUAAAUUUUUAAAUUUUUUUUAAAAAUAACAUUUAUGGGUGGUGAAACAAAUUAAAGAAAUAAAUGAAUGGUACAAAUAACUUUUUCUGAUUAAUAAAUUUUUUAUGAACAAUAUUAAGAAUAUUAAAACAGGAACCAUAAGUUCCAAUUAAUAAAUUGGUUGUGGCUAGGUAAAAGUGAAACAUGUAGGGUAAAUAAUUAUUCGGUAUCCAUGUCACGUGUUAUGUUGUAAUUGAUUAUUGAAUUAAAAUAUAUUGAGUUAACACAAAAAAUAGCCGAAAACACAAUAUGAUCACCUAAUAAAAGAUGUGAUUUACAUCUAACUCGGUCUAUAUGCAGCUCAUUAUGUAUUUUCCUUUAUUCUUAUCGUUACAUGUCACAAACAUCCCAAAAGCUUCACAUCCUCCUUUUUUUCAAUAAAGAAGAUGAAAAAAUGAAACAAGCGUUUAGCGCAUGCUCAAAACUUUUUUCAUAAAGUAUGCCAUAUUUACAUGUUCAUAAUGGCUAUACACAUAAUUAAAAAAGAGUGGUCAAUUACAACCUGACAAGUGACAUGAAUACUCGUAUACCAUUAUCUACAUAGACUAGAGUCUUUUCCUUUAUUUUAAUACUUGAAGAAAACCUCAUCAUUAGUUACGAAUACAUUGUACACAAAUUUAUUUAUAGACCGCCGGAGAGGUUGCAAGUAGCCGCCAAUCGACACAUCACACACACAAUACUAAACACAAAUUAAGUAAGCAUAUAUCAAUACCAAGGACACGCAUAUAUAACACAUGUGGUGUGGUCGGAGGAUCAACCGGCUUUGGCAAGGCCAGCAUCAAUGUCCUUAACAAAGCUAACAACGAAGUCCAUGAACUUAGUCGGAGGUGGGAAGUUUGGGUCCAGCUUCUCAUAUUCAAUCGUCAAUUUGGCAACCCCUUGAUCACCAUUGCCCAUAGACACGAACUCGAAGAUUCCAUUGUAAACUUUGUACAGCUUCAUCACGUCCCCUUCUAAUCCAUGCACUUUCACUGUUUUCUUCCCGUCGUCGAACUCCACCCUUUCCUUGAACAUCUGCUCCUUCCCGUCUUGGACAUUUUCCACAACCAUGUAUUAAUGAGUGCAAUUAUUACAUUACUUGAUCAGUGAGAAAUGUGAAAUAAAAGAUGUUUAAAAUAAUUAAUUAGACAUUUGGAUAAAGUAUAUUAUUUUAUAAAUAGAUCGGUUUGAGUUGGUAAUUUGUGAGUGAAUCGAUAGAACAUAUAAUCCUUUCUGCGACAAGAAAGCCUUCAAAUCCAGUACAAAAUAUAUUUUACGACAGAUUAUGUCCCGUCACCACUAUUACCAGCGUCAGUAAAAUAAUUUUUUACGACAGAAACCGAAUUUGGUCGCAACUAUUUCCUCUUCUGUUACUGCUUCUUUUGUAGCAAAUUUUCAAAUGUUUGCGACCAAUAAAUUUGUUGCAGAACCCUUAACCCUUCUGUGACCAGUUAAGAAGUCAUAAAUUUGUGAGGUGGUAAUCUGUGAAUGUUUUUCUUUUGAGUAUAAUUAUUGUAGAAAAAGAAAAAAAAAAUUAAAAUGCCUCAAUUUAUUUAUAAUUAUAUAUAUCAUUAACUAAAAAUACAAACGUAAUUUUGGUUAAAAUUCCACAUAAAUCUCUACACAUUUAUAUAUUUAAAAUUACCUACAAAAUCUCUCCAAGAACAUAGGGUAAUUUCAAUUCACUAAAAUCUCUUUGUUGUUUAUGUCCAUCUAAAUCCAAAUCAACCUCCAAAUCAUCCGUCCAAAUCUCAUAUUAAAUCGACCCGGAUGAAAGCUAAGUAAGUAUGUAUAUAUACCUAAAGUGUAGUUCCAUAUCUUGAUGGUGCCGUGAGACUCCCAGUCGCCUUGGUGGACUUUGAUGGACUGGAUUUUGGAAGGGGUGUGGGUUGGGAUUUGGUGUGCCGACUUCCUGUAUACGUUAUAUAACUUCGCCGGAGGUGCUUUCAGCUCCACCUCCGCCUCCAGCUUCCCGCUUAUCGCCGAUGUCGUCUCCGCCUCCGCCUUAGCCGCCAUUUUGUUUGAUUGUGUAAUUGAGGAUGUGUUAGCUAACUAAGUAGCCUGACCUGAAUUUAUAGGGCAUGUAAUAAUUAAUUAACUACUAUCUAACAUACUGUUCCUGUAAUCAAAAUGUGACAACAGUACUAGUACCGACACAGUAAUUAAUGCAGUCGAUGUUCGUUGGAUUCUGUUCAUAAGUUGACUUACUUGUUUCAUGAUCAAAUCAAGGGUAGUUAAUGGUUGGUUUAUAUUAAUGGUGAUUUGGAUGUUUUAUUAAGGGGUAAAUGGUUUGUUAUGUGGCCAUUCAAAUUCAAUUAUUUUGUUUGAUUAACUCAAGACGAUUAGUUCAUUCAUAUGUGGUGGGUUUAUAGGAAAACUAGUGACAAGAAUCGAACAAAAGUUUAAGGUGUGGGUUGUGUUAUUUGACAUAACCAUCUUGUUAAGAGUCGUUGUAUUUCAAUGAUUUUCGAGAGAUAGUUUUUAUUGAUAUUUAUAGUGUUCACUAACACCCCUUCAAACAGAAGUUCUGAAGAGCUAAGUUUUGCACAGUUUCAAGCGGUAAGUCAUGUGCGCGGAAGGGAAGGUUACUGGGAUUCGAAACGGAGACUUCUUGUCAUACAAGGCUCUGAUACAUUGUCAAAAAUCGCAACAUCUAAAUAAUUUGAGUUGUUGGGAGAAGGUUCUUAUUGAUAUUUAUAGAUUCAUUAACAAAUCUCAUGUAUUUAAAAUAAUGCGAAAGUAAAUUAAAUGAAAUAUGAAGGAGUCCCACAUAACUCUUUUGAUAACAUACCGACUAUAUUAUUUGAGCCAAAUUAGCCCAUUGAAAUAUCUUAUCCAUAGGUUGCUAUGUUUGUAUUAAUUUAUGACUAAAUAUUUAUGUGAACGAUUGUCUAAUAGUAAAUAGAGAUUUGAAAAAUGUCAUAUAAAUUUGGUGUUCAUUUUCUUUUCAUUGAUGAUCCAACUUCAUCACAUAUUCUUUUGUAUAAUUUGUUUACAAUUUUCAAACUUCAUUUUAUUAUGAAUGAAAAAUACAGCCUCUGAUUUGUUUAGAACAAAUUUUCAUGUUAACAUGUAAUGACGUAAGACUGGUUUCUUAAUAAAAUGAUUGAAUUAGCUACAAAAUUAUUUAUUUAUGGAAUUGAUCAAUUGAAGGCUGAAAUCCACCUAAGAUUCAUAGCCCAAGUGUGAGCCCAACAGAAAUAGUGAAUAAACAUACACCGCGAAUCCACCUGAGAUUUAUAGCCCAAUUGUGUAAACCCAAUAGCCCAACAGAAGACGAGAGCCCAAAACGUCGCGUCGUUUCAUUCUCCUUCUUUAAUUCUUCGAUUCGAUCCACCGCUCUCCAAAUUUUCUUUUCAUUGCAUACUCCCAACAAAUUGCGAUCCCCAUUCCUCGCACUAAAAUUUUGAAUUCUAGGGUUACUGUUUUCCCCUUCGGCCGUCCAAUUCUGCUUCCAAUCUCUGCAAUCGCUGUCCCGUCGAUACUGCCGCCAGGGAUCCGUCGCGAGUGAACCAUGUCCGCUUCGACCGUGUCCAUCACGGCGAACACCGCGGCGGCUCGCCGGAGGCCUGUCCUCGUCGGUGAAAAGAAGUCCAACACCAUAGAGUUGUUCCCCCACGAAGCACAAGCCAAGAAUGGCGGCGGCGGGGGCGACACUGGGAAUGUCAUUGGUAAGGAUAAAGUCGCUCCGGCGCAGAGCAAGGAUGUGAGUCAUAACUCGAUCCGGGGCGAAGCGAUUCUCGAGAGAACGUCCAAGGAUCCGGUGCUGCUCAGGAAGAGCAACGCGGUUAAUUCGACGGUUUCUCCGCGCAGAGGACGGAAACUGGCACCGAAACCUGUAAAGCCACGGUGGGUUACUGUCGCGAGUAUUUUUACCAAGAAUUUUGCGCUUUUGAUCGUGUUGGUGGGGCUAGUUCAGUUGAUCAGAGGCUUAGCUUCGAAAUCGGAAAGCCCUCAUGCAAGGAUGACGACUGGUUUAGCAGAGAUUGAAGGUCGGAUUUCAGAAGUUGAGUCGUUGUUGAAGACUACUGCCAAAAUGAUUCAGGUUCAGGUGGAAGUUGUGGAUAAAAAGAUUGAGAAUGAGAUAGGAGGAUUGAGGCAUGAAGUGAACCAGAAGCUUCAGGAUAGAAGUGUGAAUUUCGACACAAUGUUGAAGAAUUUGGAAACCAGGAGUGAAGUGUUGGAGAAGUCGAUAGCGGAGAUAAAGGCAGGGGAUUGGUUGACAAAGGAUGAGUUCGGGAAGUUCUAUGAAGAAUUGAAGAAGACGAAAGAUGUCCAGCUUGGUGAAGGCUCUCAUAGUUUAGAUGUUAUUAGAGCUUAUGCUAAAGAGAUUGUGGCAAAGGAAAUCGAGAAACAUGCUGCGGAUGGCCUUGGAAAGGUGGAUUAUGCCCUUGCUGAGGGUGGUGCUUUUGUGUUAAAGCAUUCUGAGUUUUUUGGUAAGCGGAGUCCUUUGGGCGACUGGCUCCGGAGUACUCGUGGUGUUAGUGGGGCUCAUCCUGACGCAUCUAAGAUGUUAAGGCCGAGUUUUGGAGAGCCUGGGCAGUGUUUUCCUCUGAAAGGAACUAGUGGAUUUGUGGAGAUUAGCCUCCGUAAAGCUAUUGUUCCUGAGGCUAUUACGUUGGAGCAUGUUGCCAAGGUAAAUGCUUUUAAUUUCUCUUAAUUCAGGUAUCAGUUAUUGCAUUGGGUGUGCUUCAGGCUAUGCAUGGGGUUAUAUAUAUUUGAACUUGACAUGUUUGUGUAUGUGCUAGUAAUAUUAAUGAGUAAUAGUAAGAAAAGUAAUGCUGAAUGAAAACUCACAUAUAGCAUGGAUAUUUCAAUCAUCCAAGGACUGCAGCUGUGAGUUCCUCCCCAACUAUCGAAGUGAUUUUGAAAAUAACUAUUCUUUCUAAACCUGUGUCACUGUAUGAGUUAGACCUAGUCGUUUUCAUGGUUCGUUGCAGAAGCACUGUAAUCGGUCUGUAGACAAAUAGAAUGCAUUUCCGUUUUGGUGCUGCAAUGAAGGUUUAUCUUGAAAUUUGAGUUCUGUUGAAGCAGAAUUGAAGUAAGAAAGUCUGAGAGAAGUAGCCAGGAACAUUAAGGUCUUAAGUGUUUAACUUUGGCAUUUAUGUUACCAUGUGCUCUCUGGUUACAGAACUCAAUUUCUGCAAUCAAUUUCGAUACCUGCAUGCCUUCUCUUAUGCUUUUAAUCUCUUACGCCAAUAGGAAUGGUUCUUCUUCUUCUAAGAAACAACUAACCCAUUUUAGCAGGCAUGGACUUAGGUUGACCCUAAUUUCUGUUUGCUUGCAUGUAAAUUAUAUAGGGCUAGUUGGCUGAUCAUAUAUUUGUCCUCUAUGAGCCUUUUGCAUUUCAACUUGCUAUAGCUUUUCUGUUUUUUUCUUUGUCAUCCCUGGUCCUGUAUUGUUAUUUCAACUUACUCUCUGUUCUUCAACUGCUUAUUUGUGGUCCUGUAUUGUUAUUUUGACAGAGUGUUGCUUACGAUCGAUCAAGCGCCCCUAAGGACUGCCGUGUCACUGGCUGGUUAAGAGGCUCUGACAUCGCUUCACCCGUGGAUACCGGAAAGACAUUGCUUGCUGAGUUCACUUACGACCUGGAAAAGAGUAACGCACAAACCUUUAAUGUUUUGACCUCCUCGGACUCCCGUGCCAUUGAUGCUGUCAGGUUGGAUUUCACGUCGAACCAUGGUAGCCAUACCCACACGUGUAUAUACCGGUUGCGGGUGCAUGGUUAUGAACCCGACUCUGGUUCGGUGCUGGCAUUGCAGAAUUGAGAUUAGUGACAGGUUCUAGCGAUCUGCAAAUUUGUUUGUAUUAUUGUCACUUGUUUUAUAACAUUUUGUAGCUCCUUGUGUGAAGGAUGUACAUUUCCUUGUGUGCUAACAUGUAGUGAUUGGCUUCCUAGCAUACAUCCUGUAUUUACCGCUGCCUUUGCGUUACCAGAGUUUCGACCGCUUCAAAAUAGUAUCAAGGCUGCUCAUGUAAAAUUAUCUAUGUAUUCACUAUUCCAUAAGAAAAAAAUUACUCCCAACGAUGAUAGUUAUCAUCAUCUCCAACAGGUAAGAGGAAGUCCGGUCUUCAUUCGCCACCGGCCCCGCAGAUUCAGUUUCCCUCCGGCGGCAGCUAUUCAUGUCCUAUCCUUCCAAAUGUACAAAAGGAGAGAAGACAUUCGAAUUUCGAGAUUGCAUUGACUCCUACUUUUGACUGUUCCACUCAAAAGUCUCUCUCCCCGCCUCAAAACAAACAACAAUUCAACAAUCAACAGAAAAUCAAUGGUGUUGAUUUGUUCAUUAUCAUUAGAGACAGCUUUGCGGAAGCUCUCUUGUCCAACUUUUGCUGGUCCAAAUCCAUCCGCCACCUGUCUUUGGAUAAAUAAAUCAUUCCCUUCCAUUUGUUUCUCUCCACUUUGCUUAUCAGACAUAAUCCCACCCCCACAAAUUCAGCCCACCUGAGUAUCCAUCAGCCCUUAAUUUCUUCUUCCUCUGUUCUUCCUUGUUCUCCGAUUUCUUGCCCCCUCUAAUCAUCGUUGGGUUGAUUUCCUUUUCUUUGACAUGUUGACUUUCUGGAGAAACUUGUUGUUUCGCCAACGACUUCAAACUUCCCUCGGUAGUGGCUCAACUUUUCUUUAGCAUUCUCCGCCGCGUAGUCAUCAUCUUCAAUCCACCACCACAGAUUGUUUCUCGUAAAAACUGAAAACCCCUUUCUUUUUAAUCAGUUCAGAGUAACAAAUUCAGUUGCUUUGCAGUUGUCUGAUUCUGGGAGUUCUGAUUGUGAUCAUACCCUUUUCCUCGUCAAUGCAACAGUUGUAUUGGGAAAAACUAAAAAGACUCCGACUUGGUAGUUUUUGGUAGUUGAACAACCAAGACAGCAACAAUCAGGUACAAAUAUUCAAACUUUCUUACGUGGGGUUUCUUUGUUGACUCUGUGUCAUUGUUUUUGUUUGUUUUUAGCAGUCGUUUCUCAAGAAGAUUUUAUCGUCCAGGGAGGUGGAAGCUAGGAGAUCCAUAAGUGUGUCAUUGAAUUCCCCUGGUAUGUGACUUCAUAUCAUAUCAAAUCAAAUUGGGGAUCUACAUUGUUGAGAAGGAAGGAAGGAAGAAAUAACUUGUUAUAUAUGCUGUGUUGUUGUCUUUUCUGCAAUUCUGGAUGGGAUUUGAUCCUUGUGGUUCUCUUUCUUUUUAUCUUCAUUUGUGAUAUCGGAGAAAGAUGCUAAUAUUCCCAACAUUGUUAGUGUAACUGUUUCAUCCAUCUGGGGUUCUCUAGAUACCAAAUUCAGGUAGCUUUUUGCUGGACCAGCUUUGAUUCCCUGUUACAUUCUCUAGUAAAAGAUGAAGUCCACUGGGUUACUUCAAGGAUAAAGACAGUUUCUUUGUGUAGGGAUAAGACCGUAUAAUUUCUUAUAUAGUAGCUGCAAUUUGAAUAGAGGUCUUUGAGAGAAUAUAUUCGUUUGAAUGGAACUUUUCAACCGGCGCAAGAUUGCAACUUUAGGAAGCUUCAAUGGCAUAUAUUUUUGCUUUAGAGGGCCCAUCUGAGAUGUGUGUUUUGGUUUCUUCCCUCUGUCAAAGUCUUCUUCUUCUAAAUGUAUGUUCCUUUCUGGGGAAAAAGUUUGGCCAAGUCUUUAUGGUUGUUAUUUGGUUUCACAGGAAAUUUACUAAAGAACAUCUCUUUAAUCUUUUAUAUUCCAGCUCUUUUUCCUCUUCCUAAGUAUUGUCUGAUUUUUUUCUGUUUUCCUUCCAACAGAGGCACACAGUAUUGGUUCAGCAAUCGACGCUCUCCUUUCGAACCAUCUCAACUCGGAGAUGCAUAAUCAUCAGACAUCAAAACCAUUUAGGUAGAACACAAGCAAGUGACCAUGGACUUCCCUCUUUGGGUUACUGUACUUGUGUUUUGUUGUCUUUCUUACUGUUCUUUUUUCUGAUCUGAUGGCCAGAAUUUUCGUGGCGACAUGGAAUGUGGGAGGGAAAUCUCCACACAGCGGCCUCAAUCUGGAUGAUGUUCUCCAAGUACACAACCAAGCAGACAUAUAUGUCUUAGGGUGAAUGAUCCAUGAUCCAUCUUUUGUUUUCCUGUCAUGUAUCUGAUUGUUCUAUCCUUUAUAACUGUUUUUUUUUCUCUUCGUGAACUGUUAGUUUUCAGGAAAUUGUUCCGUUGAAUGCUGGCAAUGUCCUUGGGACAGAAGAUAGUGAGCCUGCUGCAAAGUGGCUUGCUCUCAUCAAUCAAUCUCUGAACAAAUCAUAUUCUGUUGGUUCAAAAGGGUCAAACCCUUUUACCACUAUUGCAACCCCACUUCCUUUUCAGAGGCCUUCUCUUAGGAAGAUAUGCAAGAGCUUCAGGACUGAGAGUGUUCGUCGCCUCAAGACCUGCAACUGCAGCCCUGUGAUGGACAGGAAAAAUAGUAAGGACUUCUGUAUGUGGUGCCCGCAGACAAACUUAGGCGAUGAUGGAUUUUCCUCGGAAGAAGAGGAUGAUGGACUUAGCAGCUAUGGAUCUUUAGAGAUUUCUUCUGCUGCUGCUACUCUCGGCGCUAAUCAAAUGAGGUACAGCCUGAUUGUGGGGAAACAGAUGGUGGGGAUUUUCCUGACGGUUUGGAUGAAGAAGGAGCUUGUUCAGCAUGUCGGACACUUGAGAGUUUCUUACAUUAGUCGCGGAAUCAUGGGUUGCCUUGGCAACAAGGUAAGGAAUGCAAAUUGCAAAAUUUCUUUGUAAAGAUGCCUUGCAAAGUUGCUGACAAUUGCAAACAAAAAAAAAUGCAGGGAUGUAUAUCGGUGAGCAUGUCGUUCCAUCAGACAACGUUUUGCUUCAUAUGCAGUCAUUUGGCAUCAGGGGAGAAGGAAGGAGAUGAACUGAGGAGAAAUCUGGAUGUGAUUGAGAUACUCAAGAACACUCAAUUUCCCAGGAAUUGCAAAUCACCUUACACCAACAUGCCAGAUAGAAUCAUCCAACACAAGUAUGAAACUAUAUGCUUCUAGCUUUUUUUUCCUUUCCUGUUCCAUAUCUUUGAUGACUAAGGUGUGAAAUGAAACUUAAAAUCGCAGCCGGAUCAUAUGGCUGGGUGACCUCAACUACAGAAUAGCUCUGAAUUAUUCGGAGACUCGAAAGCUUGUAGAAAGGAAUGACUGGAAUGCACUCUUUGACAAAGAUCAGGUACAUCAUUAGUCUUCUUUUCAAAAUAUGUACUAGUUUAGCACAUAUAUCAUCUAAACUCGUACAGAGGAACGAACAAUUGAUGACAGCUGAAGAUUGAGAGGGAAAAAGGGAGAGUGUUCAAAGGAUGGAAAGAAGGGAAGAUCUACUUUGCACCAACUUACAAAUACUCAUGGGACUCUGACAUUUAUGCUGGUGAAACUGUCGACUCCAAAAACAAGAGAAGAACUCCAGCUUGGUACUCUUCUUCUUCUUCACCAUAUAUAUACUCACAGAUACAUGAAGUUGGCUAGUAGUUAAGAUGUGCGAAAUGCAUUGUUUGUUUCAUAUGUAGGUGUGACAGAAUACUCUGGCAUGGAGAUGGAAUCCAACAGAUGUCCUACGUUAGAAAGGAGUACCGGUUCUCUGAUCACAGGCCAGUGUGUGCAACGUUCUUGGUCGAUGUCGAGGUUGGUGAGAUUGCGUCAAGGAGGGCAUCAUCAGCUUACAGGUUCUGAAACCCGAAAUCGAGUUGCAGCGCUUACCGCUAACCAUAAACUAAUGGAAACCCGAAAUUGAGUUGCAGCGCUUACCGCUAACCAUAAACUUAUGGAAUGCAGAAAGUAUAGAUACAUGUCAUUUUUAGUCUUUGUUGCUUCCUGGAAUUUGCCAGAAGAAGAUGAAGGUUCAGAGAGAAGGUUGUUUUAUUUACUCUCUGUAGAUUUGUGCUCUUAACUUCUUAUGGAGGUUGAGAACAAAUUGUACAAGUCUUUGGUUUGUUUCCGUUGGAAUUUUUUAUUUUGGCAAAUUGUAUAAGCAAAUGUGAAAGAAGUAGAGAUUCAAAUCUACUUGUACAUUCGUAUGACAGUUUUAAUUUCUCAGAAAAUAAGUUACAAAUAAUUAUAUUUUAUUCAUUUGUUUCGUUAGUAAGUGCGGUAACACUUGGACCAUGGACUUUUCUUGUUAUGCAUGGUAUACUUGUUUGUUUGUAGAAGUUGUAUGUUCAUGUUCUGGUAUUCGAAAAACUGAAUAUCGAUAGAAAGUCGAACAAACCCGAAACGAGACUUGCAUGUACGUUGCAAUAGAGAUAUAUGUGCUGUCUGAAACAUAAUCCACUAAUGUCAUACAUGUGAAAUAAAGGGCAAUUCAUACUCAUUCCCACCACUCAUAUGUGUAUUUUUGUUAUAUGAGUGUCGGAACAGCAAGCAAAGGCCUGGCCUUGUGUAAAGUGAGUCCAAACUUCUCUUCCAUAUCCAGACUGAUUGGAUCAACUCCAUCUUCGAGUUUCCAGUCAAACCAAUGAAUUAGCGAACCCAACUCCAUAUGCAACAUCCUCAUUGCCAACGGCAAUCCAAGACAAAUCCUUCUUCCGCCUCCAAACGGUAUCAGUUCAAAACUGUUCCCUCGAACAUCAAUGUUUGAUCCCAUGAAUCUCUCCGGCAUGAAAGAGCUUGGAUUGUCCCAUAUAGUUGGAUCUCUACCCAUAGCCCAUACAUUUAUUAGAAUCAUUGCUCCUUUUGGCACUAUGAAUCCGCCAAUAUCCACAUCGGAUCCUGCAUUUCUAGGAACCAACAAAGGAAGGGCCGGAUGCAACCUGAAUGUCUCUUUGAUUAUUGCUUGUAAAUACGGUAACCUUGAGAUGUCAGAUUCUUGAAGAUGAUUCUCCUUUCCAAUAGUUUGGUGUAGUUCGUCCCUAACUUUAUAUAAUUUGUCAGGACUUCGUAGUAGUUCGGCCAUGGCCCAUUCUAAUGUGCUUGAAGUUGUAUCAGUCCCAGCAACGAAUAAAUCCUAAUCAACAACACAAUAUGAAAUUAAGUUGGAUAGUUCUAAGAGUCAAGGUCAGAUUAAAUAAUUAAAGAACUCAGAAGGUCGAAAGCUCACCAAGAACAAGUGUUUGAUGACAUCGGUAUCAAUAGAAGCCUCGGCAUUCUCUUCAUUAAUGUCAAGAAGAGUAUCUAACAUGUCAUUACCAGUUACAUAACCCUCCGACUUCCGAUUCUUCAACCGUUGCUCAAUUACCCUUCCAAAUAGAUUCAACACCUUCUCGUAAAGAUUCCACGAACGCCUCCGUAUCCCCUGCAAAUCAAGAGGGGCAAGAAACGGGAAAUAGUCUCCGAGGUUAGGCUUCCCAGAUUCAUCCAUUAUACCCCUAGUAACCAUUUUGAACUCCAUCACAUCCUCCGAACCCUCAUCCGUCAAAUCCAGCGAAAAAACCAUCAUCGACAUAGCGCUAAAACUCGCCCUGAAAGCCGCUCUACCAAUAUCCACCGCCUUCCCCUCAUAAGUAUUUUGUCGAACAUCUUCAAUAAGCUCAUGAAUCGUCCUCUUUCGAAGUUCCCCGUUGGAAUCCAGCUUCUGUGCGGUGAAUAGAUGCGUGUUGCACACUUUCCUAAGGUUCCUCCACUUGGAUCCCAAGGGAAGAAGCGUCACAGCAAAUUCCUGAUGGUUGCAGGCGCAAAAGGCCUGGAUAAGUUGACGGUUACAAAGGACUUGGUCGUGCUUUUGGAGAAUUUCUUUCGCUAUUGCUGGAGAGGAAGCGACGACAGUGGUGACUUGGCCAAGCUUCAGGCUCAUCAAGGGACCGUGAGUCUUGGCAAGUUGGGCCAGCGAUUGGUGGGGUUUUCCGCCCAGGUUGUGGAGGUUGCCGAUGAUCGGAAGGCGGGAAGGGCCCGGCGGAAGUCUGGACGGAGUUUUGUCAGAGAGGAAACGGAGGAGGAGGAUGGCUAAGGUUGUGAAGAGGCAGAGGAAGCAGGUGGUGAUUAGCAUCAACUCCAUUUUUUUUGAAAUGUGUAGAGUCUACAAUAGCAUGAAACUUGGAACUCAUAUAUAUACAGAAGCGAAGAAGAAGAAGAAGAAACGUGGCUGUAGUUAUUCUUACGGUUGCCACGUUGUGCAAUUCCCCCGUCAUGCAUGUUGACGGAGGCUCACACCUUCCAUGCUUCUUCUGAUAGUUUGUCGUGUUCUGCCUAUUGGCCGUUGGAGAUAUUUUAUUCGGUAGCUAGUUUCCAAAUGACACGGGGAUAAUCUUUUAAGGGUCGUUUGGUGAUGCUUAUCCAGUUAUAUAUAUGCUCCUCAUCGUUGGCAAACUUGACUGAAUUCAUAGUGAUACUGGAUUAUGCAUUAUAGAAUCUUUCAUCGGAGUUGGUAUUUCGCUAAUCAUUUGUACAUAAAAGUGAUUAAUAAGUAUUGUUUAUUUUAUUUAUAAGAGGAAGAACAUAAAUUAAUAUUAUUUAAUUUUUUUAUAAAAAUUUUAUUUUGAGUUUAUUAGAGUUUUAUUUUGAGCUCAUAUAAUACCAUUUAUGAGUCUUGUAGUAUAUUUCAUUUUUCGACUUAAAUUGUCUCACAUUUUCAUUUUGUUAAUUAUGUUUUUUACAGCGAAAGAAAAGUUCAUCUAUCUCUACUUAUUCUCUAAAAUAAUCUGAAACAUUANNNNNNNNNNNNNNNNNNNNNNNNNNNNNNNNNNNNNNNNNNNNNNNNNNNNNNNNNNNNNNNNNNNNNNNNNNNNNNNNNNNNNNNNNNNNNNNNNNNNNNNNNNNNNNNNNNNNNNNNNNNNNNNNNNNNNNNNNNNNNNNNNNNNNNNNNNNNNNNNNNNNNNNNNNNNNNUGCAAUAUCGAACGAAUGAUUCUAAUAAAAUUACAAAAGAAUAAAAUAAUGUAUAGACAUGUUUAUAAAUAGGUGGAGCAAUACAUUGGUUGAUUGUAUAAAUCACCUGAAAGUGUCGGAACAAAAUAUAAAAGAAAUCGACCUUCAACAGAAAGCCAACCAAAAUUUAAUCAUUAUUCAUAUUAAAAAUCAUCUUUUGAUGAAUAAAAAUUAUUCAUUAAACAACAAAUAUAAAAUACAGUUAAAACUGAGUACUAUUCUUAAUGAAAAUGAACAAUGUUCUUACCAUUCGUAAGCUAAUUAUAUAGGACCGAUAACAGAAGUUGAUAAUAUUUUUGGUACUCUAUAUAUUAAAAGAAUAUAUUUUAAUACCUUACCUAUCAUUCGAAGUUAUUCCUACGAUUAUAUUUGUUAUAUUGCAUUUCACGUUAUUUAUAAGUACAAAAUCACAGGUGUCGAAUGUUUAAUAAUAACCAAAUUCGUAUUUUCCGAUAUCGCGCAAUCAUCUAAACUAGUUUGUUUGGAAAAAUUGUUUGUUCAUAUUUUGAUUCAAAGACUGAAUAUGGAUAAUAACUAAAAUGUGUUGGUUGCAAAAGAGUCUUAUUAUACUUUAGAUAGCAUUCAGAAAUGUAAUCGACUGAUGUCAUCACCACUCGCAAACUAGUUAUUAACAGACCACACACCAUAUGCGAUACAGGCGAUGAAAAGAACGACAUAUAGAUAAUAUAGCACGGGUCGUACUCAUUCGGUCAUUCCCACUGCUCGCUUCGGAACAGCGAGUAAAGGUUUGGUCUUUUGUAAAGUGAGUCCAAACUUCUCUUCCAUAUCCAGAUUGGUUGGAUCAACUCCAUUUUCGAGUUUCCAGUCAAACCAAUGAACUAGUGAACCCAACACCAUGUGCAACAUCCUCAUUGCCAACGGCAAUCCAAGACAAAUCCUUCUUCCACCUCCAAAUGGUGUUAGUUCAAAAUUGUUCCCUCGAACAUCAAUUUCUGAUCCCAUGAAUCUCUCAGGUAUGAACGAGCUUGGAGUGUCCCAUAUAGUCGGAUCUCUACCCAUAGCCCACACAUUGAUCAGAAUUUGUGCUCCUUUUGGCACCACGAAUCCGCAAAUGUCCGUAUCGGCCCCAGCGGUCCUAGGAACCAAGAAAGGAAGGGCUGGAUGCAACCUAAAAGUCUCUUUGACUAUAGCUUGUAGAUAAGGUAACCGCGAGAUGUCAGAUUCCUGAAGAUGAUUCCCUUUUCCAACAAUUUGGUCUAAUUCAUCUCUGGCUUUAGCGAAUUUUUCGGGACUACGUAAUAGCUCGACCAUUGCCCAUUCUAACGUGCUUGAUGUUGUAUCAGUUCCGGCCACGAAUAAAUCCUAAUUGAUGAAUCAAGGAAAAUGUGUUAAUUUAGUCAAAAUAGGCUAUGAUCCAACUAAAAGUCAAACUCAGAUGGAAGCCAUUAAUUUAAAAACUUAGAUCUCCAAAUUAUUAAAAAAAUUCAUUAUAAAAGUAUAAAACUUAGAUCUAAGAUCUCCAAAUUAAUGAAUUAUCAUUAUCUUCAAUUAUGUAUUACGGUAAGAAAAUAAAGGAGUCGGAACUAAGAAGGUUGAAAGCUCACCAAGAACAAGUGUUUGAUGACAUCUGAAUCCAUGGAAGCCUCGUCAUUCUCUUCAUUAAUGUCGAGAAGAGUAUCGAGCAUGUCGUUACCCGUUACAUAACCCUCCAACUUUCGAUUCUUCAAUCGUUCUUCGAUGACCCUUCCAAACAGAUUCAACACCUUCCCGUAAUGACUCCUCGCCCGCUUUUGUAUCCCCUGCAAAUCCAUAACAGCAAGAAACGGAAAAUAGUCUCCCAAGUUAGGCUUCCCAGCUUCAUCCAUUAUACUUCUGGUAACGUCUUUGAACUCCGAUGCAACCACUGAACCCUCGUCGGUCAAAUCCAACGACAAAACCAUCAUCGACAUAGCGCUAAAAAUCGUCUUGAAAGCCGCUCUACCAAUAUCCACCGCCUUCCCCUCAGAGGCAUUUCGUCGAACGCUUUCAAGAAGCUCCCGAAUGGUCUUCCCCCGAAGCUCCCCGUUGGAAUCCAGCUUCUGAGCGGUGAACAGAUGCGUGUUGCAGACUUUCCUUAGGUUCCUCCACUUGGAUCCCAUGGGGAGAACAGCCACUCCGAAUUCGUGGUGGUCGCAGGAGCGGAAGGUCUGGAUAAGAUGCCGGUUGGAGAGGACUUGGUCGUGCUUUUGGAGAAUUUCCUUGGCUACCGCCGGAGAGGAAACGACAAUAGUAGUGACUUGGCCGAGCUUGAGGCUCAUUAAGGGACCGUAAACCUUGGCAAGUUGGGUGAGGGAUUGGUGAGGUUUAUCGCCCAGGUUAUGGAGGUUGCCUAUGAUCGGAAGGCGGGAAGGACCCGGUGGAAGUUUGGACGGAGUUUUUUCAGAGAGGGAACGGAAGAGGAUGGCCACAGUUAGGAGGAGGCAGAGCAAGCAGCUGAUGAUUAGCAACAGAUCCAUUUUUGUUCAGAUGAGUACACAAUACAGAGUUGAACCAAACUUGUAACUUAUAUACACAAACAGAGUAGGUUGGAUAUUCUCUGUUUCAUUUAAUGGCUGAAACGUACUAAGUUUGUAACAAAAAUUGUCAAGAGCAAAGAAGAGCAAUGGCGGCCGUGGUUAGAAUUUUCAAUAAGAAGAUACAUAUCAUCUUCAAGUAUAACAUCAGUUCUUCCGCUGGAAAUACUGUCAGGUAAGAUCAUCAGUCUUCGAUUCAAUCGUAAACAUUGGAGAGUAGGGACAUUUUCAUACAAAUAUAAGCUCGACAUUAUUCAAAGCAUAUAUAUAGGUUAUCUGUUUACUGGUAAAUUAUGAACAGUUUUCACAUACAACAACAAUACUUGCCAGCUUUUGGCUUUGGCGAUGACUAAACCAAAGAAUUUAACGAUUCAAUAUCCUCCGUGAUAAUUAGUUAUUCAUGUUUUGCAGUAACUAUUACAUGCGAUCAUAACUAGUUAUAGAAGUUGAUCGGACCUCUAACCAAUUAAUUUUUUAUGCUUUUUAUUAAGAUAAUAAUUAUGAGCGGUGAGACCGAUUAACGAGACCAAUUAGUAAGACAGCAGUAGACUCUUUUCGUACUUCAGUGUCAGUCAGGAGCCACUUCAAUGGCAACCGAAUUUGCAAGUUGUGUGGAAGCGGAGAUAUAGUAAUAUGGCUAAUUAUUAUGUUGUCGCACGACAAUCUAGUACUUUCUCUUCUAUCUAUGUUAUGGGAGCUAUGUUGGAUAAUGUAAGACCCAAUUUACAUUUCCGAUAUGAUUGAUUCAAUUAGUCUUUCUUUUUAACUUUAAUUAUUGAAAAUAGCCUGUAAAUAAAUAUGAAAUAAUAAAAAUUAAAAGAAGAUUAAAGGAGAAUUAAAGGAGGAAUAAGGGAGAAUUAAAGGUGGAAUAAUAUGAAAGAUUAACAUGAUUUUUUAUUUUGAAAUCGACUAGUUUAUAUAGAAAAAAAUAGAAUUUUAUUGUAGUAAUGAUAAUAGAUAUUGUUAUAUUACACAUAUACAAAUAGAGGAAGCAUAUAUAUUUAAUGAGAUUUAAUUAAACUAUACAUUUAAAAUUACAAAACCCAAUAAAACAUAACAGUGACUCAAUAAUUCGUAUAGAUUUAUCAACAAGCCCAUCAACCAAAUCGAAAAUCUCCUUUUCUUAUCUCGUGAUAGAGUUGGAAGAGAAGUGGAAGCUAAAAAUUACAGAUGUAAUCAAGCAAGCAUUCCUCUUCCUGUGUGCAUGAAUAAUGGGAUUUUUAUAAUUUACCGUAGUUGUAAAGCACAAUAUAUAGAGGAGAAUUUUGCUUCAAAGACAAUGAUUAUCAUACUACGAUCACAUCAUACUACGAUCACAACGGAUGCUCGUUCUUCACAUACGAUUUCUACUCUUGAUUUGUUUAUAUCAAUUCUUUCCUUCUGUCUUAUCGUUUGGGAUCCAUAGGUAGAUCGAUGCAUGCUGAUGAUGCUCUCCAUGUAUGGAUGUAAGUUCUAGGUUGCUUCCGAUAUUAUUCGAUUGUGAUGAAUCUAAGCAACGACACUGGUCCUGUUAAUCGAUUAAUUAAUAUUGACCAAUGUCAAAUUGGCCAUGUGAUCAUGAUCUCACUUGCCCUGGCCCUGCAGCUUGGGGAAUCCCAGUGAUCCCCACCGACUCAUCUCUGACUCCUCUCUUCUCGUUACAUUAGCUAAGAUAUUAAUCGACCCUACAUAACUACAUAGUACAAUAUUAAUUCAUCAGUCAGCUACAUGCAUGCAUGUACAUUCAUCCCAUCCCAUAAUUUCUCGUCUUCUGCCCCUCCAUGUCCUUGUCCCAGUUCCUCACCACUGACAUUGAAUUACUUCUUGCCUUGCUACAUGAUCACCUGUUUGUCUACCCGACCAGUUAAGCGGGUCACAUCAUGAAUUGGUCACAAUAUGUAGAUCCAUCCUUGAGAUCAAAGUUUAUGAAUUUUUCAGAGUACAAUUUUUUCUUCUGUAAAUGCAUUAUUGGUUACAUAUGUCGAAUGAAUUAAUUCAAAGAAUGAGACAUGGGUAUGGAUCAAAUUUGCCAUGAAAGAGACGUUGCAUUCCAGCAAAUCAUUCUCUAUUUCACAAAAGAGAGAUGUUGCAUCACUGCAUGCAUACAGUUACCAAAUUUUAGCAAAACACUGGUUAAAGACUUUCAUUAGUUUUAGGUUCCUCUUUACUCUGUUUAUACCUACUCCCAGCCCCACACUUGAUUUUAUUUGAAACACUGGGUUGAAUGAUUCCAAAAGAGGGUCAAAAGUUAAUACAACUCCCCAAGUUGUUGCCUUGUCCCAAGAAACGCCAGCUGGCUUACAGUGUAAAGCGUCCAAACUCAAAAGUCGCCACUCGCCUAAUACCUCCGCCACCGUCCUCCGUCGUCAUCUCGAAAACCGACACUAAUCUCACUCUCCAGAUCUCCUCCGGCUCCGCCAUCCUCCUCCUCUCAUUUAUUACCCCACGCGCUUUCCCCUGUUCUUCCUCUCUCUCAAUUAUCCAUCUACCCACCGUCCCAAUGUCGAAUCAUCACGCAGUACUAUGUCGUAGCUAAUUUGAACUAGUCAACCGAAUUUGUUUCAACCCGGCUCGACUUGUCUGGCCAACAAGUCGAACCCGUGAUUCGUUUACAAUUUCAAGCCUAGUGACCGAGAAAGAACCACUAUUUUUCACCAUGAAACCACUCACCAAUCGUUACGACAUACUACGAUAUGUUGCGGGUACUCAUUCCAAUAAUAAACCCGUUUCAUGCCCCUUAUAGAAAAGGAAAAAGUAGUUAAAAUUUUAUAAAGUUUAGUAUUUUUAAAUUUUUAGUGUUUUAUUACCAUAUUACUAUAUGCCUUUAUACAAUUUAUAAGUUUUAUAUAUGACACAUCUUAUAAAACUAUUCUAUACUUCAUACUUUUUGAAUUAUACUUUCCUGAUAACUGAUUAAUUUUAUUAAAUUAAUUUUGAAAAUUAUGUCGGAAAAUUUGGAAUGUAUAUGUAAUUAUGAUGAAUUCUUCAAUAUACCUGGUAUAUCGAAAAUUUUGGUGUGCCCAGUUUUUUUUGGUAACAUAAAUCCAUCAUCACCGUCCAUUUUCAGUUUGCGAUCUCGACGGUUCAUAAUUAUUCAAAUAUUAAAUUUAUAUUUCACAUUUUAUUUUUAGUCUCUAGAUUUCCUAAUUUUCGUAGGAUUGUUUCUGUUAGCAAAUCCGUUUCAUUAAGAAAGAUUGGCCGGCGGCCUUAGUUACUGAUUUCAACAUUCCCUUACUGAGCUAGAGAACCAUUGCUUCAUAAUUUAAAGCGCUAUGCAGCAUUCGAAUUACUAACAAAUCUCUUUGAGCAUUGGCCGUGAUGAUGACUUGUAUUACCUGCAAGCUUCUUCAGUUUUCAGUAUAGUUUAACCCUUUAGCAGCAUAAACGUGAUGAGUUCUCUAUGGUGUGUAUCGGUGUAAUGGCCUCCUGUUACUUGAACUACUUAAUACGAAGUUUAUUUGACAUUAGCUUUCCAAAAUGUCAAGCCUUUUCUUCUUUUGGGAGGAAAAAUUUAAUAGCUACUCUGUUAAUGAUUUGUACAGCUGAAGACAACACCAACUGAUUACUGUUUCCCGACGACCAACCAAACAAGGCACUGCUUUACUCGUUACAUUGAGUUCCAUAGGUAUUUAAUAUUCAAAUAAUUAUGAACCGUGGAGAUCGCAAACUAAAAAUGGACGGUGAUGAUGAAUUUACGUUACCAACAAAAAAUUGGGCACACCAAAAAUUUCGAUAUAUGAGAUAUGCUACAUUUUACUUGUACUUGUUCCAUAUACAUGUUUCUACGGUUCGGCUUUAGUCAUCCUUCCCUUUAGCCCUAAAAUCUUUAACUCUUUCGAGUGGACCUCAUGAUUCGUGUAUGACAACAUUGGUAAAUUAGGUGCUUAAAGAAAAUCAUUUACAAUAUGCUAACUCUAACCCAAAAACUAAAAAAACAAACUGUUAAUUUCAAAAUAUGAAAUUAAAUCGAACCCCCAUGACAUAUAUAUAUAUAUAAACAAACUAGCAACUACGUACGUACUCUUCAUCAGUCUCCCCAUUAAUUCACUCAAUCAAAAUUCCAUGGCCUCCCACCUCCCAUUCUCCUCCUCCUACUCCGCCGCCGUCAUUCUCUUCUCCCUAUCUCUCCUCGCUCUAAUCUCCUCAUCAUCCUCCGACUCCGACACACCCACCGCCGCCUGCAAAUCCAGUCUCUACCCGAAGCUCUGCCGCUCCCUCCUCACCCCAACCUUCGGCUCCUCCUCCUCCUCAAACGACUCAUAUUCCUUAGGCAAGUUCUCCGUCAAGCAAUGCACCAAGCAAGCCAGCCGGCUCUCCAAGCUCCUCCACACCCUCCUCUCCCAUCGCGACAAGGACCGCUCCCGCCUCACCUCCCAGGAGAUCGGAGCGCUCGAGGACUGCCUCGAGCUCUCCGACACCAAUUUCGAGUUCCUCGAGUCGGUGUCGUCUGAGCUCGAGGACGCCGAGGCCAUGAACGACGAGCUGGUCGAGAAGGUCACUACUCUGCUCAGCGGCACGGUUACCAAUCAGCAGACUUGUAUUGACGGGCUGGUUCAGGCUUCCGGAUCGGGGACUGGGUCGGUUUUGGUCGGGUCGGGGUUCGGUUCGACCAUGGGGAAUUCGACCCAGUUGUACAGCGUGGCGCUUGGUUUGGUUACCCGGGCUUUGGACCGGAAGUUAAGGAAGAGUAGGAAGAGUAAGAAGAAGGGCGGCGGUGGUGGGUUCGAGUUUAACGGCGGUCCCAUUGGCCGCGGAGUUCGUGAGCCACUUCAGAAUCUCAUCAAGGUAAAAUCUAACACAAAAGUAUAGUAACUAUUGUCAUUAGGCUAAUUUUUAACAUUUUUUCGUCUUUUAUUAUUUUAGUUUAUAAGAUUUAAUUAGAACGUGGUAGUACAAUUACAAUUAUUAGGACGUAUUAGAGACAAUCAAAUAGACAAAUAUCAUUUAUCAUCCAACGUCAAGACUAGAAAAUAAGAGUGACAAUCAAUUAUUAGAUAACCAUUUGGAAAGAAGAUAUAUAAAAUUUUAAAUUACUAUUAUUAUUUUAAUUUUCACAUAUUACUAAAAUAAUUAAAAUCUGUUAAUAAAAAAAUUAAUUAAUUAAUAACCCCUAGAUUUUUUAAUUCUAAACCAAAUUGAAUGAGACAAAAUCACAAUUUUUAUUUAGAAAAUAGAGUCGUAAUAUGUAUGAAAAAUCACUGACUUCAUAUGAUUCUAAAAUUUAAAUUAAAAUUUUACACAAUUUCACUAACCAUUAAUUUUAAAUGGAAUCAAAAAAAUUUAAAUCAUAAAAUUUUAAAAUUUAAAUUAUCAAUUUCACUUCACUACUGUUCAUAUGUGUAUACUGUACUGAUUAUAUCAAUACAAAUCACUGAAUCACAUUGCUCAAUGCUGGGAAGUUUAAAAUGGCGUAGAUAUUUCUAAUAAGCAUCCAACCCAAAUUUAAUUCGGUUUGGUGAAUCAGGUUCGUGACCCGAUUCAAGCAGUAGCGGCGCCUUAAAUGUAGCGGUUAAUAAUAGGUCAGGUCAGGUCAGCCCGUUUGAUUUUGGGUAAGACGUACUGUUGUAUGGGUAGAAUUAGUAAUUAAUUACUACCCACUUGCCUACCUUGCAAGUUACGGUAAAAAGACAGAAGUGCAGGUGUUCACAGUAAAUCUCAGUUGCAAGAUCUAGGAAACAUCUGGCUUAUAGAGACACGAGUCCACACGUUUACCCAUCAAGCUGUCCACACAUUUAAAUAAUAAUUAAAGUAACCAUCUGUUCCCACAAAUAGUUUGUUCCCGAUAAAACUCGUAAACAAAUCAUUAUAAGGAUCAAUUAUUAAAGGUUCCAAAUUUAGCUUUUUUUACAGGAGGAAAGUUAAAGAAUCAAGAUAGCACUAACUUAGUGAGUGUAUCAACUAUCAAAUUUAUAAGUUGUAAAUUCAUUAUAUUAGCCCUCAGAUGAAUAAUUGAGUUGUUUAUAAAAAUAUUAAUGUCUUUACCCUGAUAUAAAUAAGGAAAAAGUCUAAUGGUUCACUAUUUUUAUCUCACUAAUUUGUCUCCAUUUAUAAAUAUUAUCAUAUGAAAGGAUAUGAAAUGUUUGAUCAGAUAAUAAAUGAAAAAUAAUAUUUAUGGGUAGUGUAAGUAAAUAGUAAAUGUAUAUGAAUAAAAUUAAAUAUAUAUAUAUAAAUAAUUGAUAAUGAACAUGAAAAUGUAGCAUUUGUACAUUACCAAUACAUUUCAUUCAGGGUGAGAAAACAAACUUGUCUGGUCCUUAUAAAUAAAUAAAUAGUAGCAGUAACACAUAGUGGAUAAUGAUCCAGAUCCCAGAACAGAACAGAACAGGGUUGAUGUCUGUAAUUUUUGGGACGAGGAGAUCAGAGCAGUUGGCAGCAUGCAUGCAACUAGGCGAUAGGGUGCAUUGUAUUAGACUCUUCACAUGGGCCUUUUCUGGCUAGCUAGCUGUUUCCACUUUAAUUCCUACAUGAAAGUCGGAUGUACAGCGAACAGUAAGAAAAACAGAGCACCAAUUCUGGCCAUAUUCAUCACAGACACUGCAUUCGUCCAUUUGAAAGCCAUCAAUAGUUUGUUUGGCCAAUUUGAGAGUAAAUUGCAACUCAUCUUUUUCAACAUUUAAUUGGCUUUGUCAGGAAUUACACAAAAGGUCUGGUUGCGGAAAAUCUGGUAGCUGCUCGAGGAUAGAGCGCAAUUUGCAGGCCGAAAACAACUCCGGAGGAGGAGGAGGAGGAAAUAACGGCAUUCUUAUCUACGAUUACGUCAUUGUCAGUCCUUCCGGCGGCGAGAAUUUCACUUCCAUUACCGAAGCGGUAGCGAUUGCACCCAACAAUACCAAACCGGAAGAUGGCUAUUUCGUUAUCUACGCCAAAGAAGGAACCUACGAAGAGUACGUCGUCAUCACUAAACACAAGAAGAACAUUAUGCUCAUCGGCGACGGAAUCAACCGCACCGUCAUUACCGGCAACCACAGCGUCGUCGACGGCUGGACCACUUUCAAUUCUUCCUCUUUCGGUAACACUACUACUUACUAACUGGACAUAACUUAGUUGUUUUAUUCAAUAUUUCAUUCACUGUUAUAAUUUCGGUAAUCAGAAUAAAAUUUGUAACCUUUUAUGCAUAGUGAUAGUUGAAAUAAUUUCUCUUUGCUUGUUUUAAAGAUUAAAUCAAAGUAAUUCGUUUGACAUUAGAAAUAAAAUUUAUAUAUUUUAAAUUGUAAUAUUUCAUUCUUUUUAUGGGGGCGUUGCAGCUGUUUCCGGGGAGAGAUUCGCCGCCGUGGACGUCACCUUCCGAAACACCGCCGGGCCGGAGAAGCACCAAGCCGUGGCGCUGAGAAACAACGCCGACCUAUCGACGUUCUACCGCUGCAGCUUCGAGGGUUACCAAGACACGCUCUACGCUCACUCCCUCCGACAAUUCUACCGAGAAUGCGACGUAUACGGCACCGUCGACUUCAUCUUUGGAAACGCCGCCGCCGUCUUCCAAAACUGCAACCUUUACGCCCGGAAGCCCCUGCCCAACCAGAAGAACGCGUUCACGGCCCAGGGCCGGACCGACCCAUACCAGGUCACCGGAAUAUCGAUCCAGAACUGCACCAUCGAGGCGGCGCCGGAUCUGAAGGCGAGCGUGGCGAAUUCGACGAUGAACUAUUUGGGGCGGCCGCGGAAGCUGUACUCUAGGACGGUGGUGAUGGAGUCGUACAUUGGGGAUCUGAUCCAACCGGUUGGGUGGUUGGAGUGGAACGGGUCGGUCGGGUUGGAUACGCUGUAUUACGGGGAGUUCAGGAAUUAUGGGCCGGGUUCGGAUACUGGCCGGAGGGUGCAGUGGCCCGGGUAUAGUUUGAUGAAUGUGACGGAUGCGGUGAAUUUCACGGUUUAUAAUUUGACGUUGGGGGACACGUGGCUGCCGUACGCUGACGUUCCGUUCAACGGAGGGUUGAUGCAGUCUUGAAGAAUUAUAUUUAAUUAGGAUUGAUUUGGACGGCCGUUAACUUAGCUGUUAAACAACGAGUUUGAAGAUGUUGGGUAUAAGAUUCGGCUCUAAUCAAUAAUAAAAAUAUUCUUUCAUUAGUAUUACUUCUUUUUGCAUUUUUCAAAUAUAUUUAUAAGAUGUCCAAUUUAAUUAUACAGAGCGAGAUCGUUUACGGGUGUUAUACCUUUGAGUUGACUCGUGGACAAAGUGUAUGUUCUAUGUUUUUCGACAAAUCAUUAAUAAUAUUGAUUUUUUUUCGAAAGAAACAUAUCCAUAACAAAUUGGAUAUCAUCGCAGCAUGGGAAUAGCAAACAACGGUUUGGCCUUCGGCAAACUGACCCCAAACUUCUCCUUCAUAUCCAAACUCUCCGGCUCAACUCCAUCCUCCAGCUUCCAAUCAAACGAAUGAACCAACGAACCCAACAUCAUAGGUAACAUCCUCAUUGCCAAUGGCAAUCCAGGGCAAAUUCUUCUUCCUCCCCCGAACGGGAUCAGCUCAAAAGUGUGUCCACGAACAUCAAUUUUCGAUCCUAUAAACCUUUCAGGCAUGAACGAGUUGGGAUUUUCCCAUGUUUCCGGAUCUCUGCCUAUAGCCCAUGCAUUUACUAGAAUCUGUGCUCCUUCAGGAACAAUGAAUCCGCAUAUUUCGACAUCCGAUCUUGCCUUUCUCUGAAGUAGCAGCGGAGUUGCUGGGUGUAAUCUGAAUGUUUCUUUGAGUAUUGCUUGUAAAUAAGGUAGUUUAAGGAUGUCGGAUUCCUUAAGAUUGUUUCCUUUCCCAACAAUUUGGUCCAUUUCCUCCCUUGCUUUAGCUAAUAUGUUGGGAUUGCGGAGCAACUCUGCCAUUGCCCAUUCUAAUGUGAUUGAAGUAGUAUCAGUCCCAGCAACAAAUAAAUCCUGAGUAUAGUCAGAACUCCAAAUCAGUUACAUGAAAAGACUAGAUAAAAAUUGCUACUCUAUAUUCAGGGGUCAUUCAAACAACAGUGUUAACAAAAAGCUUGAUGAAUUAUCAUAAUAGCCGAAGCAGAUCGAAAUAUGCACUAAGUCGGAUUUGAAUCAAAAGUUUGUAUGUGUAUUGAGUAAUUAAUUGACGAAUUAAUCCUAAUACUAAUUUAAAAUAAAAAUAAAGUCAUUAUACUAUUGUUAGUUUAAAUAUAAUAUAUGUGCCACCGAUGAGUUUUUUGUCUUAUAUUUGAACUUUUGAACUAAAUUUAUGAUAAUUAAUUAGAAUNNNNNNNNNNNNNNNNNNNNNNNNNNNNNNNNNNNNNNNNNNNNNNNNNNNNNNNNNNNNNNNNNNNNNNNNNNNNNNNNNNNNNNNNNNNNNNNNNNNNNNNNNNNNNNNNNNNNNNNNNNNNNNNNNNNNNNNNNNNNNNNNNNNNNNNNNNNNNNNNNNNNNNNNUUGUUAAUAUGACCUUCUAAAUUAGCAAGUGCUAAUUUAGAAAACACUUCUCCAUCCCUAGCAAUUGCGUAUUGGAUGCCUAAAAAAUUCGGGAUGGGGAUGCUUUAAGUACAAGAGUAUAACUUCAAAUACUAUUAGCCGGAUUAUGAACUCAUAAAAAUUUUAUAUAUAAUUUAGUACUCGAGAUCAAAAAACAAAAUAGUUGAGACUAUCACUAGGUCCUUUUGAUAGGAUCAUGCACUGAACCGAGGUCAAAAUUACCUUAAGCCAAACUUGUAAAAGUUAUAAAUAUACACUCAAAAUUAAUGAUCCGGACCGAAAUUGGGGUGAGCCGGACCACCCUAGUUUGGCCCCUGAAUGAUAAUCUUGAUAUAAGUUAAUGAAUUAUAGAAUGGAUAAGAGAGUAUGGAGGACGAGGAAAGAAAACUCACCAAGAACAAGUGUUUGAUGAGGUUUAUAUCCAUGGAGGCCUCGCCGUUCUCUUGAUCCAUAACGUCCAACAGCGUAUCCAACAUGUCAUUACUCGCGACAUACUUCUCCGCCGAUUGUCGCUCCGUCAAUCGUUCGUCGAUCAUCCUCCCGAACAAAUCCAACCCCUUUGCCAUAUGAGACAUCAUCCUCCUCUGUAUCCUUUGCAAAUCCAUCGUAGCCAGAGCUGGGAAAAAGUCUCCCAAAUUCGGCUUCCCAGAGUCUUCUACUAUUCCCCUCGCGGCCUCUUUGAAUUCCGCAACUCCUUCCAAAUCCAACGGAAGAAGAGUCGACGACAAGGCGCUCAAAAUCGUCCUGAACAUGGCUUCGCCAAUAUCCAUGGCCUUCCCCUCGUAGGCAUUUCGUCGAACCCCUUCAAGGAGCUCCUCAACCUUGUUCCUGUAGAUGUCCUGGUUCGAAUCCAGGUUCCGUGCACUUAAGAGAUAUGUGUUACAUACUUUCCUCAGGUUCCUCCAUGUCGGCCCCACGGGGAGCAAAGGCAUGCCGAGUUUGUGGUGAUCGUGGGCUUGGACGGCGAGGAUGGGGUUACGGUCAGAGAGGACAUGGUCGUGCUUUUGGAGGAUCUCUUUGGCUAUUGCAGGAGAAGAAGCGACGAUUGUGGUUAUCUGGCCGAGUUUCAGGCUCAUUAAGGGGCCGUGAAUCUUGGCGAGAUCAGCUAGUGAUUUGUGGAGUUGGCUACCUAGAUUGUGGAGGUUGCCUAUGAUCGGAAGGCGGAGAGGUCCCGGUGGAAGUUUGAUCACCGGAGUAUGCUUGUCGGAUUCGAAACGGAAGAGCAUGGCGAAGGUGGUGAGGAGGCAGAGUACGCAAGAGGUCACCAUUAGUAGUAAUAACUCCAUUUUCUUUUCUCCGACUUAUUAGAUUUCUAGUCUACAAAGGCACGCAUAAAUAUGCAAAGUUGUGUUAUACAAGAUUCUCUGGUCAUAAUAUGCACAUUGCUAAAUUACACAAAAGACCAUGUCAAGAUGCCAUUUUGUUUUUAUUUUAUUUUAUUUUAUUUUGGUUUUGCUGGCCAAAGAAUAAAGAGCUAGUUAAGAAGCUGAAACCAGCCGAAUGGAUUACCAUUAUUUUGUUCAAUUUUACUUAUUUUUUUAACUAAAAUUUGCUCGAGUCGAUAUAUAAAUUAGUAUUGUUGUUUAUGUUUUUUUUUAGUUUUUGAUAUUUAUAUUUAUAUUAUGUAUUUUACAUUUUAUACGAGUAGUGAGCCGGCCGUGCAUAAAUUGAAAAUAUAUAUGAGUAGUGAGCCGGCCUUGUAAGAUGAUCUCAAUUUAAAGGAACACAUCACAAGGCCUAAACCCAGCAUUAGCAUUUACGAUAGGUUUGGUAAUGUAGAGGUUCGAGAUGNNNNNNNNNNNNNNNNNNNNNNNNNNNNNNNNNNNNNNNNNNNNNNNNNNGGUUAUAACCGCUCAUCGUUAUGAAAAAAAAUACCAAAUGAAAAUCAAAAGUUCAAAAUGAAAACUAGUUCAUUUAAAAAGCUGCGGAUGAGAUAUUUUUAAUCGAAGAAUAAUGUUUGAUUUUUGUAGAAGACGAUGAGACGAAUAGAUAUCGUCGAAAUAGAAAACAACAUAUGAGAUAUUUUAAGGAAAUAAUGAGUAAAUGGAUUAAUGUUUAGUUUUUUGGAUAGAUUUUAUGCACAUAUGGGUUAGAUAGUGAGUUUAUUGAGCUUGUGCAUUGGCAGAUAAAUGUUGAUUAUAUAGCGAAUCAGAGAUAGUUACGAAUAUGUUUAUAGUGAUGAUACAGUUAUUAUAAAAUCCAUAACCUAAACUUCACUUAUUUUUAACCAUAAAUUAUUAUCAUCGUAACCUUAAAAUACCCUAUCAACAUAGUUAAUAAUCGUCAAACUUGGUGAGAUCACCGUCGAUUAAUUGCCAAGCUUAUAAGGUGCACGGGAAGUGGUCGACUAUUCAAUUUGAAAACAGAGUUAUAUCCACACUAUGGGUUAACUAACACCUUAUCUCUUCUUUGGUUUCACGAGCAGCCCGUUUCUAUAGCCAUCUCCUGGGCUUGGCCCAUACCUAUCAUUGAGUAUACCCUUCAAACUCUAUUUGUAAGUUGUAAGGUGAUCAGAUUGGAGUCUUAAAUUUCCGUAGUAGUAUAGUUGGUUGCAUUGUGGUUUGAGAUUUGAAGAUAUUGGGGUUGAAUUCAAUCACACUUUAUAUAUAAAUAUUUAUNNNNNNNNNNNNNNNNNNNNNNNNNNNNNNNNNNNNNNNNNNNNNNNNNNNNNAAAACUUAAAUUUAAGCAAAGUGUAUUUUCAAAAUUAACUUUCUCAUUUCCACUCUACAUGUCAAUGCGAAACUAAACAUGUACAAUUGAAUAAUACAUACAUUAAUAAUUUUUAAAUAUAUUAAAUUCGAAUCCGAUAUCUUUAAAUCAACACCACGCCAUUUAUCAAUUUGUAUAUCCCAUUGAAUAAGAAGUGAAAUGAGAUAUGUAAGACUGAAAAAACUCCUAAUUUGAAUCACACGCCAACCACGUCAUCGUUAUUAGACUAAAUUAUACCCAACAACUCUCGUUAUCUCUGUUUAUGUCCAUUACGGCACUUCAUCUUGCCCCGAUUCCAAUGUCUUUAGUUUAAUUAGCUAAAUUAAUUAGCAUAAAAUCCUUCUAAUAAUUAAAAAAAAAAUCACGACAAGGAAAGAAGAGAAAACCCAACAUGUUUCCUCUAAAACCCCAACAAAUUUCCACCUUCCUUCCCCCGAUAAAAACAUCCAUCCAAACAAACCCUCCAAAAACUAACCAAACCACACACAUAAAUCUUUAGUUACAAGAAACCGAUGUUGUUGUUGAACAAGAAGGAGACCUCGACAGAUCCUCCUCGGACAACAACUUCCCCUUCACCCUCUUCCCCGCGUCAUCAUCAUCCACCGCCACCGGCGGCGGGUACGAGUCAAACACCAAAUAGUCAAUGUCCUCCAGCUGGAACCCUCCCCCAUCCACGUCGAACAACUCCGGCAAUAUACAGCACCCCUCCUCCGACGCCAGCUGCGAGGAGGCCGCGUUGUUCUCCUCCGGGUACUCGAAACAGAAGCUCCAAUUCCCAUCAUUCUCCAACUCCAGAAGCUCCAUCAUGCUGCCACCGUUGUUUGUCGUUGUCGUCGUGGUGGGAGGCAUCUCCGGUGGCAGAGGCAUAUCCAUCAUCAUUGCCACCUCAGCGGCCUCUUGUUCGAUCGACGAUGACGAUGAGGGCAGGGGAAGUGGUUCUAACUUGGCAGCAUUGUCGUUGAUGUAUAGUUCAGCUGCUUCUUGAUCAUCUUCCGGUGCCACCUCAGCCACUGCCACGUCAGAAAUUGGCUGGAGGAAUUGGUCGCCUUUCGACUUGAGGCGGUCCACGUAAUUGGCCACGUCGAAGUUGGUGACAGCGUUGGCUCCUCUGUAUUCUAGUGCCGCCAUGUCAUACGCCUCUGCAGCCUCCUCCUGCGUGUCUUCAUCAAAGAGAUAAAACAAUUAAGUAAUUAUUAUUUUUUUUAAAAAUCCAACAUAAUGACAAUUAAUUAAAUUAAAAAAUCCAACAUAAUUAUGUCUGAUUAAAUCCAAUGUAUAGUGAGGAUAAAGCUUUGCGAUAAGAGGGGUCACGUGACUCUGCUCUACUACUACAGUUUGCACACCACCACCUCCUAGCUCUGCAAUCAGAUCUCUAAUUAUCAUUGUUUAAUCUUGUAUUAAGGGUAAAUGGAAAAAGACAAGGUCACACGUUAAUUAAUAGUUAGUUCCAUGAAUUAUGCCUCCUGUUAGUAUUUUCUUUUUCAGUUUUUACAACUUUAAUUGAUGGCAAGUACGUACAGAAAGUAAGAGAGCAGGUGUACCUCUUUCAACUAACUUAAAUUGUCGGCUUACAAAAUUGCAUAUUGGUCAUCUCAAAAAAGAAAAGUGUACUAGUCAAAGAAAAUCUAGUUGGUUGACCAUUUUGGUACUAAAGAUAUGAUCCUAGAUUCGAUGUUACGAGCCGAUCGGGGGGAGACUCAGGUUAGGUUUAGCCACAAGAAUAAUCAUGAUUCCUAUGGAAGUUGGGUUCGAAUAGUGAAAAUAGUUGAGUGGAUGUUGGAAGGGAUUGCCAACCGAAUGUUGAACCAAAUUUCAUUCCACAUCCCAGCCCUAAACGGAGCAUUGAUCGAAGUUUCCAUCCACAGUCUCUCCCCAACUCAAUAUUUUAUACGCUAGCCUAGGUUUGGUGGCAAGAAUUAUGAUUCACAGGAAAGUGGAGGUUAGACUAGCAUAAGAGAUCGGAUGAGGUGUCGAACGAGCGGUUUGGCUAGGCUUCUCGCGAGGUGGGCUAUCCUGGUCAUUAGGUCAUAUCAGGUUCAUCGAGUUACGGGAUUACUUCCUUUUCGUCAGUUCGAGUCACAACUCAGAGUGAGUGUGGGGCUAAGCUGAGUGGGUUGGUCGGGGUUUCAUCUUAUCUACAUCUUAGAUGGCCAAAGAAAGUUGGUGGGGGUGGACAACAAGGAAUUAGGCCUACCAAUGAAUGGUGAGAAAGUACAAAAGCAAUCAAAUGACAGAAAGGCAAGCCUGAAGAAUUGGGUGAGUGUUAAGAAACUUAAAUUUAGAAAACGAUAGUAGCUCAACUACCCUACACCACAAAUGGAGGAGGAAACCAUAACUACUUCCAGAGUUUGAAUCAAACCGAUAUUUGACUCAAAAUCUUAACCAGUCACUUUCCCAGCUAGAUCCUCCCUCUCUAUUUUUAGCAAUUACUAAACCCCCAUCAACCAACAAACUCAACCAUUAUAAAGCUCAACUGUAAUAUGGGCUUAAUUUAAUGACAAAAAGCAUAGGCAUAGCCAAGAUAUUCAAAUAAGGAAUGAAAUAAUAGAAUGUGACAAAUCAAAUUUCACUGAUAUUUAAAACAAUAUAUUACAAAAAUCAGGUCACGUGACCCACUUUUGGAUUUGGAUCUGAUGAUAAGAUGAAAAUAAUAAAAAAGAUUUGGUAUGCUUUUAGGGCAUUUUAUUUUUGUUACUUAUUAUUACUUAUUUAAGGUGAAAUGACAACAUCGACCAGAUCCACUUGGGAUCCACUCUUGUCCUUACGAACCUCAAGCUCGAUGAGCUCGAGAUUUGUAAGGACCGGAAGGGGGGACGUAAGGAAUGCAGCUUUGGUUUGCCAGUGGAAUGUGAGAUGGAGUUUGGAUGAGAAUUCACUCGAAUAGAAAUAAUGUUCAAAAUUUCAUCCCACACUCUACCGGUCGAACCGAACCUUAAUAAAAAGGGUCCUGAAAUGCCGGAGAAAAAACAAGAGAGAUAGCUCAGUGUUUGGUGUGAUUUGGAGAUCCUACAAAGGGUACACAACAGCCUACCAGCUAGCCAUCUGAAUCUGACUUGCGUUAAAUUAACACUUAUUAAACCAAAAAGGCUGAAUCUUUGUUAAGAAAAAAGAUAGGACACGUAAUAUUGAGUAUUUAAUUAAUUAAUUAUAAAAUAAAAAAAGCAGAGGUUAAAUUAGGAUACGUUUGCCACGUGAGCUAAUAUUGACUUCAACUGACAGCCUCCAACCUUUGAAUUUUUCCUCCAUCACCAUCCCAAAAACCCCAUGGGGAAAUCAUUUUCAUUCAUGGAGGUUUAUUAAGGUUUAUGAUCAGAGCUUAAUUCUGCUGAAAAUGAAUUUGAAAAACUUACUGAAAGUGCCGAGGUAGAGGUACUUGUUCCCCAGCACUCUUCCAAUCCUUGCUUCCCACCGUCCAUUAUGGUGAUGCCUGAAGUUUAAUUGUCAUCAAUGGUGGUCAAUAACGCCACAAAUUACACCGUUGAACUGUAAUUAGCUAGACAUUAAUUACAAACCUGGCGACGCCGCGGUACUUAGAGACGCCUCUGGAGAAGCCGGAGCUCCGGCGCCGGAGAGAAGCCAAGUACUCUUCUCUGCUCACUUUACUCAUCUCCUCCAUCUCCUUCUCGUACCCUUCUACCUGCAUUUCCAUUUUUUCCCCAACUUCCAUUAAUCUGUAAUUCAAUUGAAUGAAAAACAGCGAGAAAUCAGAAGUAAAAAAGUUACAGGGAAAUUCAAGGUGGUGGCGGAUCCCCAGUACUUCAACGCAGCAAGGUCGUAAGUCCGAGCAGCGGCUUCCUCUUCGUCAUACGCCCCUGUAUCACGCCAAAACCCAUAUUUAAUCGGAUUAAAUUAUAUAAUUAAUGAGAUGAAUCUGAUUUGAAACGGACAUAAUUACAGAGAGAGAGAGAGAGACGAUACUUACCCAAAUACACUGAGAUUAAAGUGUGUACAUGAACGUUGGCCACCAUUUUUUGACAGACAGAGGGAAAAAAAACAGAGUACACGGAAUGAGAGAGAGGGAUAAAUCAUAAAUCAGAAUCAUUUUUUCACAAAAUUAAAAAAAAAAAAAAAAAGAAAGGAAACCCAGAUCUCCUUAUGAAUUGUUUAAUCGAUUAAUCGCUCCUCCCACCAUAAAUUCAACAACCCAAAUUUAAUAAAAAAUAUUAAAAGAAUUUGCAGGAAGAAAGAAAGAGGGGAAAGUAAGUUUUUUUUUCACCUUGUCUACCCUUCUUGUUGUGCAUGUUGUUCCAGGAGCUUUUAUCCCACAGAUGAGCUUCAAAUCUUCCAGUCCAUCUAUGCCUGAAUCGCAAACAACGAAAUUCAAACACCCCCACAAGGUAAAGAAGCUAACUUUAUGGAUUUUUGCAACAAAUUUGAUCAGAAAUUGAGGACAUGCAGUUAGUGAAAUCCGGAUUAAUCGUUUACCUGGUGACACCCCUGAAAGCAGAGCUUCGUUUUCCUUGUGCAGAGGGGGGAGGCAGGGGAUCAUCAAUCUUGUCUUCAUCGUUUGAUUUAGGGGGGUGAUCGCCGCCAUUGUUGUUGCUGGUCAAUUUCUUGGAUGAUUGGGUUCUUCUCCGUCGUUUGGCGGCUUUGGGUGGAGCAGCUGGUUUCUCCUCAUGAUUCGGCGGAGGAGGAGGAGGGUGAACAAUUACAGCGGAGGGAUCGCAGGAAGAGCAAGGGGAGGAAGAGCAGGAGCAAGAAGGAGAUGGGGGAGAGGAAUUGUUGGAAGAAUUGGAAGAGCAGGAGGAAUUAGAAGUGAGGGAAGAAAGGGAUGAGGAAGAUGAAGAAGGAGAUAUUAUCUUCCUUUGCCUCUUGUUGUUCUUCGUCGUCGACUUGUCGUUUGACGGCGGCGAUUUCAUCUCGGAACCCAGAAUGUAGCAGCAAUGGUGGUGGAAUUUUGGGGGAAGGGUUUUGAAGAAGUGGUUUACCAAAACAAAGGAGAGAGUGCAGGUUUUAAGGGCAAAGAAAGAAAGAAAGAAAGAAAGAUGGAGAGAAGUAUUGUGGAAGGAGAGUGAAACCUCCCCUUUCUUUAUACAUAUGAAUCUAUUUUUAUAUUAUUUUUUGUAUUCGAAUCGGUAAAUUCAGUGGUAUGUGGUUCAAUCGGGAAAAAACCGGUAUAUAUUGUAAUUGAUUUGUGAUCGCAUGGUAAUUAAUUAUAUCGGAAUUAUAUUGGACCGUGUAAAUUCAAGUUUUAGUGCGCAGUUGGUUGUGUUGUGUGGUGUGGUUGGAGACAUGGAAAUAUGAGUUCGAAUCCAUCCGCACUCCAUAUAUGGGCACCUAUGUUAUACAUGUUUCAGUUCUCGUAAGGACAUCUUCGCCCCGUUUAUCUUUGACUAAAAAAAAUUUCGGUAAAUUCGAUGGUAUGUGAUUCAACCGUCUAAACAUAAAUAUAUUGUAGUUAAUUUGUGAUUGAACUGUAAUUUCAUAAUGGUACUGGACCGUGUAAAUUUAAGUCCCCGUAGAGUAGCUGAGUUGGUUGUGUUGUCUGGUGUGGCUGGAGACUUGGAGGUACCGGAUUCGAAUCCAAACCAACAUAUAUUGAAAUUGAUUUGUAAUUAUAAGUAUAAUUCUAUUGAAUUUAUACUGCACCGUUUUAAUGAAUAGUUCAAAGUUCGAUCCAUAAGAUCGUUUAUUUGAAAACACUAAUACUUUUGACUAAUAAGUAUGUAAAAUUUUAAUAUAUUCCUAUGUUUAUUAAAAAUGUGAAAAUAAAUUAUGUAUAACCCCUUUGAAAAAACAGAGAAGGCAGGGGCAGAGGCACAGAGAACGGAGCAAGAGGAGGGGUGAAAUAAAAACAGGACAUUCUGAUCCCUCCAUUCUCUGUGCUGGUGUGAGUUCAGAAUUCCUUCCAGGUGCAAUGAGUUUGAAUUUAUGGUGCUAAUAUAUUUAAAAUAGGUAUGGGAUCGUAUAAAGUAAAAAUGGAUUUUAUAUCAUGUUAAUAAAACAAAUAGUAGUAAAAAAAACAUUUGGAAGUUGUAUGUUUUUACGUAAAAUGAGUGAAUCGUAUACAAACUAUGUACGUCUAUAUGAAAGACUGUAGUCUAGCGACAAAGUAACAACACUUCUAGACAAAUAACCUUGUGCUAAGGUAUUCUCAAGAAGUGUUGCUACUCAAGUUCGAAUUCACAUCCCAUAAUCAUAUAACACAAACCCAGUAUUGACGGAUCUUGGAGAGACCUCUUGAGAGCUACAGUCCUUACACCGGCUCGAAAGCUACAGGUUUUCCACUGGCUGGACAGCUACAGUCCAUUCUAGAUCUACCGCGGAAUAAACCAUUCAAUAUGUUUUCAUUUGUUGUUUGUACCCCUAGGUGUAGUAGUAUAAGUUUGAAUUCACAUCCCAUAAUCAUAAACAAAUCAAAUAUUGACGGAUCUUGGAGAUGAGAGUGACUGUCCUCCCACUGCUACAAUAAUUUGUAAAUUUUGUUAUAUCUAAAAGUUAAAUCUUCUAUUCACAACCUACUACAUUUUCAAUUCUACAUCAUUCAGAACUCCGUAAGUUGAAUCAUUCUCGAUCUGCCGCGAAAUAAACCGGUCAGCUAGGUUUGAGUUGUUGUUGGGUUUGAACUAACCAGGAGGUUGAGUUAAAACGUAAAAAAUGGGGUAUGGUCUGAGGCAUGCAGAGCAAAGAAGAAAGGUGGGGGGUUGGUUAAUGGUGUGUGGUAAAAACUGAAUGAAACCCAACACUUGGCAAAACAGUGCAGCCAUGCUGCCAAUCAGCAGCACCGCCAACCUUUGAGUUUUGCAUAUUAAUUCUCCAUUUGUUUGGUAGCUGCUUUGCUACCUUUCCUUCUCAACUUCUUCAUUUGUCCAUUUCUCCCAGAGACUCAGCAGAUUCUAUGUAUCUCCUCCUCCUUCAGUUUUCACCACCUGCAUAUCUCUCAGGUCUAGGGUUCCUCUGUUUUGUCUUUGGUAUAAUGCUCUGCCACCAAAUAAUGGUUAUGCUUCUUCUUAAAAAACUGAAUCCCUACCUCCUCAUCAUCACUAAGUUCAUGAGUUGUGCUUCAUGAUUCAGUUUGGUGACCUUUAUGUUACUAUGUAUAUACGGUGACUAGAGUUUCAAAUGGCUAAAAGAUUUCAUUUUGAGUUUUAUAUUUAUCUCAUUCUAGUAUUAAAUGGCCAAAUUUGAGACUCGUGUCCAUGACAUAUAGUGAAGAAAUUAGUGGUGGAACUCACAUAGCUUGUUUCUAUAUAGUUAUUGGUGGACACAUUUUGAUAAAAUUUGCAUUUAUUUAUUUAUUAUAAAUUGGUAGACACAUGUUGGAAGAAAAAAGCGCUAACGGGAAGACUACAUUGAAGCAAAACACAUUUUAACCAUUCUAAAGUGUCAAAUUUAAUACUUUAAAAUUGUCAGUUGAGACUUAAUAUUGAAGAUGGACUAACACUAUCAUUCCAAAAUCUUAGAAGCUUAAUCAUAAAUCAUAAAUCCUAAGAUAACAUAAGUCUAAAUAUUAAAAUCAAAAUAAAAAAUCAUAAAAUCUCAACUCUAAAAACCUACAUCCUAUCUCGUAAACACAACACCAAAAAUUAAAACCCGAGAAAUCCAAAAUUCUAAACCCCGAACCCAACAACACAACCGUUAAAACUUAAUAUUAGGUCUCCUCUGUUUAGUUAAUAAUGAGAAUUAUAAUGCUUGCAAAAUAAACCAUGCUGUUGAUUAUUGUUGAGUUUAUAACAUUAUAUAGACUUUUAGCAUGCAUGUAUCUAUAUUAACACAAGUAAUGCAUGUGUACGUACGUACACAUCAAGCAUGAACACAAGUAAUGCACAUUAGUGCAUGCACAAGUCCCUUAAUCAAUUGAUGCAAAUGGCGGAUCGAGUGGUUAAUGGGGGCAGUCGGAGCUACGCGUGCACGAAUGGUGGUUCAGGUGAAUCCGAUCGUUGAGUGUCGUAAGUGGCACCCACCGCCUAACCUUGCUCUUAAGUGUAAUGUUGAUGCUGCUAACUUCCCUGCUCAAGGGGAGACGGGAGUCGGCAUGUGCUUACUCGACGAGAGUGGCACGUUGGUCCGGUAUAAAAUGAUGGCGUGACGCGGUGGCCAUAGUAGUAAGGAAAGCCAAGCACUCGCGUUGCUUGAGGGCUUGAAAUGGUGCGUUUACCUCAACCUUGAGCAAGUUGCAGGUGGUAGUGAAGGCGAUUCAUGCGAAUGCAACAUUAUUGGAAGAUGACAGCCUCUUUUAGUUUUUAAACCGAAUUCUAUGAUUUAGUUUGUGACGAAAAAAAUGUAACAUGGUUGCUCAUAUUUUGGCCAAGCAAUUUAGGUUAUUUCAAUCCUGUAAUAUUAAAAGAUGCCUCUGUUGUUUCUUUUGAAUUACUUGAACCAUAAUUUUCAUAAUGAAUGAAUUAAUAGACCUUUGUUUAAUUUUUUUUUUAAUGCAAACCAGCAUUUCAUAAGGUCAAAAACAUACUGGGGGGAAAGUGACCAACUUCAUUAAAUUUUACAAGGAUUGAUAACCACCUUUGUUAUAGAAAUUUUAUUAUACAGAGUCGGCCUUAAUUGGGGAAGAAAAUCUUGGUGGUGGGUGGUGGAUUCCCUUUGGAUGCAUGUGGUGGGUUAAUUAUUUUUGUAUUAUUAUUUUUUAAUAAAAUACUUCAAAUGUUAUAAAAUUUGAGCAUAUGUCAAAAAAUAUCGUCAUAAUUUUCUCAACAAUUACUUCUUAUUUCACUCAUCCGUUUGAAAAAGCUUCACCACUAAGACAGAAAUAUAAAAAAAAAUCAUGCACAGAAUACUGGAGAGCAGCACGAGUAUCAACUAUUAACGAGGAGGACGUUGAGUCGCAGAAUGGUCUUCAUUAUUGUACAAAGAACUAACACUGCAUGCAUUGAUCUUAAUUGCUGCUUAAACUGGUGAUAGUUGUUGACUUCUCUGUACUGGAGAAUGAAUUAAUGAAUGGAUUUUCGAUGAUAUUAUGGUAUGGUGCCUACCACCACCCUAUUAAUGUCAAUGCUGUAUGCUUCAUCGUCGGCAUCCAAUGCUGGUGUGUUUAGUUUUAAUCACAGAAACAGACCAUCGUUAGUGUCACUGGGACACCUUCAUUCUAUCUAUAAGAGGAGAACAUGAAUUAUUAUUGAAUUAAUAAUAUUUGGCUUUCUUAUUAGGGCUUUAUUUAUAGUUCAUGGGAGCUUUAUUUUGAAUUUAUGAUAGCUUUAUUUUGAAUCUUGUUGUAUUUUUCAUUUUUCAAUUGACAUGGCUUAAAUUGUCUCAUACUUUCAUUUUGGUAAUAUGUUUUCUAUAACAAAAUAAAAGUCCAUCUACGUUUUUUCAAAUUAUUAUAAUUAUGAAUGAAAAAGAGCGAGUGAUUCAAGUCAAAAUUUUAUCAACUAUCUAAAAAAAAUCAUAGAUAACAUCAAUUGCAUCUUAAGUAACUACUCAAAUAGACAGUUUCACCACAAUCUGUCUUCGAUGACAUAUAAGAGCCGGUUGAACCACAUAAUAAACGGUUCUGCUAAGUAUACUUACAAAUUAUGGCUCCACCUAUCAGAUAGAAGACUUUCAUGCUGCGGCAGAUUCAGGAUGAUUCAAUGCAUUGUACCGAAUUGUGUAAGAGUUCAAAUAUACCGGUCUAUAUAUGGAAAAAAUGUCAACAAACAAAAAAAAUAUAAAGGAAAUUACAUAGCAUUAAACUUCAAAAUUCGAAAUAUACUAUGCCGGAGUCUAGGAGAGGCCCCCUGAAUCUGCCAUUACGUACAAAUCGUCAAUGAAGCAUCACUCUCAAAUUCACUGUCGAUGGAAGCGAGUAUAGGUAUUGAUCCUAAAAGGCAACCAUGCUAAUAGAAAUCACUCUUGGUCAUGAGUCUAAAAUUAGUUCCACACCCCAUUCUUUAUUUGGUGAAAGCAAUUAGAUUAAAAAGAAUAAUUCGAGGGAUACAAACAUCAAUAAGAUCGUAUUGCAAUCAACGGGACAGGUCCCAAUCGAAAGACGAAAGCAAGUUUCACCCCUAUGAAGAUGGAGGCAUUGAACUUCAAUCUAAAUGGCAGUAAAAAUGGUCAAAAAAUUAGUUAUUUCUUGAACUUGGAAAAGGGUAUUAAGAAUAAAUUCCAAAAACCUUGAAAAGUCAUAUUACUUGUAUUGGUUAGCUUGCCAUUUCUGGUUGUAGAAAGCUAAUUACAGGUUACCAACUAAAAUGGAAAGAACUUGGAGAAUUGAUUUCAGGGCAGAUACAACAACUGUCAAACCCAUCACCUCCUACUACUGCUGCUACUACUACUACAGCUAGUACAUUUUUCACGUACAACCACCGAUCCACCAUUUUUCAACUUCACCAUUGAAUUGCACUGUCGGCUGCAAUAUUCUACGACCACUUUAAAUCUUUUUAACAAAUUACUAUCCACCCAAAUCCCUAAUUUAGGGGCACACGUUUCGUUUAUUAUAUCUCUAGAACCCCGUCCAGUCGACUCAAUCCAAUUGGUUCGAGUAUAAAUCCGUCAUAAACAAGGGACUAGUGUUAGAUUAAACCAUCUUCAAUGUUAACUCUCAAAUGGUUAUUGCGAAAUCUCAAAUUUGGUAUUUUAGAAUGUGUAAAAGGUGUUUCGCUUCGAUGGUGUAGUCUUUUAUUUAGGACUCUUACUCUAUCAAUUUCCAAUAAAAAUAAAUUACAUGGAUUUUAUUACCAAUUUUUUUAAAAAUAAAUAAAUAAUGCAAACUUUAUAAAAAAAAUGUUUCCAGCAAUAACUAAUAAAAACAAUUCAUGUAAAUUCCGCUACAAAUUUCUCUAGCAUGGAUCCACAAGUCACAAAUUUGAUAAUUUGAGACUAGAAUGAGUCAAGUAUAAAACUUAAAAUAUUAGUCUUAUAAUUUAACCAUUAAGACACUUGAAAUUAUGCAUCGAAGAUGGUCUUAGAAACGUCAAAAUAUGUUGUUAAAAUGCUAGUACCGAAAAUGAACUCGACAACUAAUUAGCUGCACAGUGAGAGUUCACAAUGUAGUUCAGUCUAAAAAAAAGCCUAAAACAAACCAACCCAAAUUAAAGUUGUUGCAAAACUAACUCUUAGGCUGCUUCUAAGUUUCCCUCGAUACAAAAUAAUUUGGUCAUCCUAGCAUAUAACAUCAACUGGCCUGAGUCUGAUUUUGAAGAAGCCAUGAUUGUUUGCUAAAGUCGGGUGAUAGCUGAGAUGAGAGAGCAUACAGAUGGCAGUAGUGCUACUGUACAAAAUUUGAACACAUAAUGAUGUUAAGAAGCCAUGGAAACUGGCGAUUCUGCUUCGUCUGCUGCUACUGCUGUAGAGUCGUCAUCUGUUUCGUGCUCAUCCUCCGUUGCUGAUAUCAGAGAUGCUGAUUGAAUCUUUCCAGCAUAGUCCAGACGCAUCAAAAUCACUCCCCUUUUCAACAAUGACAAGACAAAGCAUUUUAAGAACCUUCAUGAGCUUAUGAUCAGAAAGAUGAAAGACUCCAUACAUUGACCGAAUAAAUUUAUAUAUCUUCUCAAAAGCAUCAACAUACAUACCUUGCAUAACGUGACUGUAUGGAGAUUUCACGCACUUUGAUUCUGUUCACAGUGCCGCUUUGACUUACUAGAACUACCUGUUCAUCGCUUUCGCCGUCCUCUGUUCCAAAGCAAAUAAAAGAGAGGAAAGGCUUUGAGCAAAACAAUUCCAGAUAAGUACCAAGUACAUCUAGUCCCGAGCAUCAGUCAUACGACUCGGCUACAUACCUGCUGAUGAGAAACCAACCACAAAGACUGCUGCCAAACACCCUUCUUCCUCCGAAAACUGCAAUUUACUUCAGGGCAUGAGUUGAGUGCAGAAGAGGGACUAACAAAACUCAUCAGGAGAUGUUGGCUGAAUGAAAUUAAUUCAAAAUGGAAAUAAAAAGCACUUAAAGUUGAGACAACAGGGCUACCUUAGAUCCAAUUAAACCAACUCUAUUUAGAGGUAGGAUUUUGAAGCUGCUUAGAGGAACCCUCUUGCCAUGGCCACUCUCGGAGAUGAACAACAACCAAGGUCCACUGCCCUUGCUGCUGUUAGAAAACAAUAAGCUGGGAUCAGAAAAGAAGCAAGCAUCUCAUUCUCACCGCUAACCUCACUGUCAAAAGCUAAUACUCUUCAUCUCAUCAUGCAUGCAAACAGAAUCAGAAGUGACUAAGAUGCAAGUGUUAAGUCUUCAGAGAAGAAUCAAACUAUUAAGAGUUGAUAUAGUGACAAACAAGACACUAGCAAUGAGACCAAGAGUUAAUCACAUAAAAGAAAAAAUCCGGAAAUUACAUGGUCUCAGGAUCUUCCAUUGCCUUUUCCAAGUCUUUCCUCAUGGCAGCGGGUAUAAUGUCCACGCUGGCCAUCUUGUCGCCAUCUUUUAAUCUCAUGGCCACACCACCCCUGGUAUUUCUGCUAAGUGCUCGGAUCUGAUAUGGUGAAGUAGUGGUACAAUUGUCAGUGAAUGUGCAGGACAAAUAAUAUCAUCUUUUUCAUAAAUGUGGAAAAAACAAACAUUACAUUCUAACAAAAAAUUCUAUAAACAGGUAGCCAAAAGAUCAGGCACAGCACAGCCCAGUGUCAGCUCAACCAUGAAGACCACAUUUGAAUAGAAUUUCUAGAACCAAUAUAGAAAUCCUAGAAAGUGAAAUUAUCAAGCAGCUGAAGUUGAAUUGAUCAUGGUGUGAGAAUCUGAGAAAUGAUAGCAUACAUUGUCACAGGAACUUAGGAUAACAUAUCCGUUCUGCGAAGCCAUUGCUACAAGAUCGUCAUUUGUGCAACACCGAACCCAUUUCAACUCAUCACCCGGAACCUACCAUGUUGUCAAAAUAGCUUGCUAACAUACUUGAUAAGUUAAACAAUGGCAGAGACAGAAAAUGGGACAAAAAGGGAAGUUAUUGCAAACCAAUUGAAUUGCUAUAAUUCCAGUUGAGCGUAUUGCAGAGAAAACACUCAGAGAUACUUUCUUGAUGUAACCAUUGACUGUGAGCAUCAGCAGAUACUGAUCCUCAGCCCCCAGCAUACCCACACACGGGAAUAAUGGAGGUUAUCCUCUCGCCAUCAGAUAACGACAAUAUCUGUUUCCAUAUAAAAUAUUUGAACUGGGAUCAGGCACCAGAAGAACAUUAACUAGGAGCAAAACACAAGAGUAGCAAAUACCUGAACCAGUGGAGUGCCAGCAGCACUCCUAGUGCAUUCUGGUAUUUUGUAAGCACGUUCUGAGUAGACAAUACCUCGGUCGCUGCAGUAACAACGAAAAAUGCUGAUCAAUAUCAUGCUAAGCAUGUCUAGAGAAACAAUGAUAAAAUAAAUCAAUGGACGUACCUAAAAUAAAGAAUGUAAUCAUGUGAUCGACAGACCACAAAAUCAGACAUUGCAUCAUUUACUCUCAAUUUGCCAACAGAUUUACCAACGGUUCCACGUUUCUGAAGAUUGAAGGUGUUGGGCUUCAUCCGCUUGACAUAACCCUUUUCACUAAUAGCCUGGAAGAAGCACUAGAACACUUCAGCAUAAAAACUAAAAACCAAACCAUAAGUUUUUGUAACAUGUAUAUGUACAAGUUUCGUAACUUGCACAUAUUUAGUAAGUGGAAGACAGCACGAGAAAUCAAGAAAGAAGAUCUUAUCAUCACAAACCAUCAGAAUUUCCUCAUUAGGAAUAGCAUCUAUAUCAUCAAGCUGACCGUCGUCAAAAUAUUCCAACAUUGAGCGCCUUGGAUUUGAAAAUGUAUUUUUGAGCUCAACUGCUUCUUGCUCUAUCAACUAAGGCAAUAAACAACAAAUGAGAACAUAUUUACAAGACAACUAAGAAGCUGGCAUAAUAAAAGAUUUCAACAUUGUAUAAUUACAUGUAGCAUCUUUUCCUUGCUGGAUAGUAGUUCCUCUAGUUUUGAGAUUUGUGCAAUUAAAGAUUUUCUUUCAUCAACAUAUUUACUUCUCUGCACACGCAAAAAGUUACUUUCAUAUGACAAAAUCACCAAAACAUAUAGUGAUAUGAAAAACAUAACGGUUGCACAGAAUUCUAUCACUAUGCACCUCCAAAUGGUUGAGCCUUCGGAGGCUUAUAUCUAAGAUAGCUUCAGCUUGUUUCUGAGAAAUGUUGAAUUCUGCAAGAGAAAAACAAACGAGAAAAUAAAAUCAAAUAUCUACAAGAAAAUGUAUAAAAUAAUAACAUAAUCAAGUAAAUAAUAUCAACAAUAACAGAACAGAAUGAUACACUACCACUCGCCUUAAAAGGUUUAAGACACAUAUUUCGUUCUGAUAGCUACACCACACUCUGUAGCAUAAAGAUGAACACUGGACGGUAAUAAAAAUAUAUACUAAUAGCCCAUUGCACAUACAUGCACCAGCAGAAGCCUUGACUGUCUUGAUUUCUCAUGCUGAUUGAUAAAAACAUAUUGUACCUUUCAUUAGACCAGAAAUUGCAGCUGAAUUGUUGGGAGAUUCCUUAAUGACUUGAAUUAUGUGAUCCAAAUUAUCAAGCCCCACCACAAUGCCCUGCAAAUAAAUGCAACUAUAAAAAAUCCAGUCCAAACACUAAAUCAAAUAAUGCAGUACAUUAGUCAAAUAUAGUUGAUGAUAUUUCAUACAAAAAGGGAAACUUGGAUCAUACACAAGCACAUGGCAAACAAGUAAAGUCCGCCUGGCUGGCUAAGAUAAGAAGCUUUUGAACAAUAUGCAAUGCCAACUAAGACGGCAAUUGCCUAACAUACCUCAACAAUAUGUCUUCUAUCCUGAGCUUGUGAAAGCUUGAAUCGAGCACGUCGCUCAACAACAGAACACCGAAAGUCCAAAAAUGUCUGGCACAGAGUAAACAAGCAUAGGGUAUUAAACCUAAGUGAUUCAAUGAGGUUGGUAACGCAUAACUAGGGUAUGAGAAAACCGUUAACUGUGUUGCAAAAAGAAAUAACUUGAUGCUUCUAUAACCAAAAGCAGGUGUAAGUAAUCACCUUGAGCAUUUCUUUCAACCCCAUUUGUUUUGGUUGUCCAUCCAGAAUACUAUGCAGAUCACCAACAGCGUGUGUUAAUUAACAAUAUAACGAAAAAUCUAGUACACUAGAAUUUUGGUAGAACAAUCACCCAUGUGAAGCAAAUAUGUUGAAUCAUCCUCAAACAAAGACACAAACAACCCUUUAAAUAAUUUAUGGCUUAAAGAAAGGCAAAACUUCUCUGUUUUAGUAGCCUAGUAGGUAAUGACUAUAUAGUAUGUUCCUUGCAUUCUGCGAUGAUAAUAUUCACUCAGUCAUUUCUAAAAAAGGCAAGUUAGAACAGAGAAUAUGAAGAAUUUCCUUUCAUGUAAACAUUUUCAAGCCCAUGAAAAAACUUACCUGACCAUGUUGCAGCUAAAACUAGACUGAAGUGGAGUUAGACGAUAAAGGUUAUUCAAAACAAGUGCAGGUUCUGCUCCACGUUUCAGCUGCAAUUUGGAAGGAAAUAAGUGUAAUUCUCCUUGUAGUAGUUUGUGUGUAACAUGGGUAUUUUUUGCAGUAAAGCAUUCACAGAUUUCUUAUACCUCGAUUACAACACGCAUCCCAGUACGAUCACUUUCAUCGCGGAUAUCAGAAAUCCCAUCAAUACUCUGUCAAAAGCAAAGUAAAAGAAAGGGAAAUGCAACUGACAUCAGCUUUCAUCACAAGUAAAGCAAUGCCAAGCUUUAACCAAAAAAAGUACGUUACUCCUUAUUCCAUGCCUCCCGGCACAUGGUUGAGAAUACAUAUUUGUUAUAGUUGGAAAGGUGGGUAAGGGGAUUUAACCCUUGUCCAUGGUACUGGGGUGGCUACAUAAUCAGUAGACCACCAAGAUUUUCUUUAUAUAAUGGAACAUUAUACUCAUAUGAAACAAGGAAGUACCUUGCUCUCUACAAGUUCAGCAAUCUUUUCCACAAGUGAUGCUUUGUUCGUCUGGUAUGGAAUCUGUUUGAAUGGAAAUCAUGAUUCUAUGAGAAAAAUGAUAGGCAGAACUAAGAUAAAAUUCCAUAAAAUGCAAAAUGCUUACCUCCUUUAUAAUUAUAGCAGACCUCUUCGUUUUCGAGUCAAGUAAUUCAACCUCUGUCUUACCCCUGACUAUGAUUCGCCCGCGUCCGGUUCGAUAGGCCUCCAAAAUCCUUUACCAUAUUGCCAGAAAUCUCCAUAUUAGUUAUCUUUACAAUAAAGAUACCAUGACGCUCAGUUAUAAGCAAUAACUGUUACGUAACAAUAUCAUACAAGUUUUGCGACACUACCCUUAUAAAACUAUAACACUGAGGAUGAAACAUAGGAGCCACAAUAUAUAAAAACGCCAAUACUUUCAGUUUUCACUGCUUGAAAUCACAAAGUCGGAAUUAAAAUCCCUCACCCUAGAUUUCCCAUGAUUAGGCCUCCAGUAGGGAAAUCGGGCCCCGGCAUAUAUUCCAACAAUUCUUGCAACUGCCAAAGAACAUAAAAAAUACAUAAGCAUAACUUGAUUGUUUCACCAACCAGCUCAUUAAGCAAGACAAAGAGUUGGAACUGGGUCACUGAAUUAUGUAGUUUGAUUCUCUUGAGUAUUGUCCUGGUUAGGGAAGUAUGGAGAGGGUGAUAAAUAAGGGUUUCAGUAAACUCACAUCAUGACUAACCGAUGAUCUUUGAAAUAAAAGUGAAGUAUUACAUCUGAAUGGUACUUACAGUAGCUUCUGGGUUGUGAAUUAAUGCACAGAGGACAUCCACUAUCUCUCCAAGGUUAUGGGGAGGAAUAUUUGUUGCCAUGCCCACCUAGCCAAUGUGACAAGUUAACAUUAUUUAUCAAUCUGUAAACAAUAUGGGAUACCCGUUACAAGAAGAUGUAGGGGAAGGUUUUAACAAGUAGAUGCCUCCCAAACCACUUAAAAAAAGACGCAAAGGAGAGGCAAAUAAAUUACCGCUAUUCCAGAAGAACCAUUCAAUAACAGUGUUGGAAGCCGGGCAGGCAAAAGUGAAGGUUCCUUUUGAGAAUUAUCAAAAUUGGGGACAAAAUUAACCUGCAAAAAGAAUUCAACAAUAACGUGCACAAACAAUUUUCUUAGCAUAUGAAAUAUGAUACAACGAUCUGCAAUGACCAGGCUAGUUCUUACCGUAUCUUGUUCCAGGUCAGCCAGCAAAACUGCUUCUGUCAGUGCCUACAAAGAGAAACGCAAAACUGAAACCACAUUGGAUAACAAUAAUUUGUUAUAUCUGAUCUUUCAGCAACUCUAGUAAGCUAAAGUCUACAGAUUCAGCUUUCAGCAACUCUAGUAAGCUAAAGUCUACAGAUUCAGCUUUCAGCAACUCUAGUAAGCUAAAGUCUACAGAUUCAGCUUUCAGCAACUCUAGUAAGCUAAAGUCUACAGAUUCAGCUUUCAGCAACUCUAGUAAGCUAAAGUCUACAGAUUCAGCUUUCAGCAACUCUAGUAAGCUAAAGUCUACAGAUUCAGCUUUCAGCAACUCUAGUAAGCUAAAGUCUACAGAUUCAGCUUUCAGCAACUCUAGUAAGCUAAAGUCUACAGAUUCAGCUUUCAGCAACUCUAGUAAGCUAAAGUCUACAGAUUCAGCUUUCAGCAACUCUAGUAAGCUAAAGUCUACAGAUUCAGCUGUUCUCUUAAUGACAAUUUUAAGUCCACAAAUAAAUCAUUCCUCGACUAUGGCAACAAUUCAGAGAUGGAAUAUAUUAAGAAUUAAACACUACUAUUACCAGCUUCGUCUCUAAGCCACAAUUCAACAAACAAGGGACUCCUUAUCUUCCAAUGUUCCAGUUUUUGAAAAGGAUACUAGUAACUCUAAAGAAAACAUACAGCUAGCCUAAUCAAACACAUCUCAACGGGAGAAAGUAACAAAUAAUAUUACUAGAAAACAGUUGCUGCUAAGAUGACUAAAAGCUUACUUGCAGCCUGCAUUCUGUAUAACGCAUAGCAGCAGCUGGAUCUGCAUCAAUGGAACCAAAAUUUCCGUGGCCUUGGACAAGAGGGCACCUCAAUGAGAAAUCCUGGAUCGAGUGGAAGAUACUUCCCAUAUGAGCAUAAAGGGAAUAAAAUCGAAGUAACCACUUACUCAACCCAGAAAGUGAAAUGUAUGGAAAACGAAGGCAAUCACACGUAAAACAUGAAACUAGCAUCAUGUCAGGGCUAGCAAACUGUUGAAGAAUACAGGUCUAGAUGAUUCCUAACAUUUAUAGCUUGCGGAAAAGCUUCAAUGCAAAGCAAGUCAAUAAAAAAGAUCAGUAUGAUAGUUUUUACCUGGGCCAUCCUGACCAAUGCAUCAUAUACAGCAGUAUCUCCAUGCGGGUGAAACUUACCAAGUACCUGACAUAGAUGAUGAACUAAAAGCUCAACCCCGCAUUCUAAACAUAAAGUUUACGCUAAUUGACGAAUGUUAGAAUGAAAUGCAGAUAUUCGCCCGUCACUUAAAGACAAUGAAAGAGCUUCCAACCUCUCCAACAACUCUAGCACUCUUCUUAAACGGCUUCCUUGACGAGAGCCCCAGUUCAUGCAUGGCAAACCUGCAGUUGAAAGUUUUGAAAUGUAAUCAAAUGAAAACACCUGAACAGUCGAAUAGAAGCCUAAUCCGCCACCCAUUUCUCAAUUCCCUAAAGCCCGCCACUUUCCUAAAACCCAAAUGUUAGGGUUUAGGGCGGGCGAGGAAGAAGAAAAGUAAAGCAUCGAAACAUCACUCACAGUAUCCUCCGGUGAACAGGCUUCAGCCCAUCCCUAACGUCAGGCAAAGCCCUGCCAAGCAAAACCGACAUGGCGUAGGACAUGUAAGCCUCAGUAGCCUCUUUGUGAAGCUCAAUAGGAAUCACGCGACCAUCUCUAGCAGCACCACCAUCCGAACCAUUCACCAGAAGAGACCCGUUCUGGCCAUCGGCAUCAUCUCCGAGACGGGCUUGAAUAGGCCGUGCACGGUUGCCGACGCGGCGGGGGAUUUUAGAGAGUGAACGGGAAUGAAGGGUGAAGGUGCGGCGGAGGAAGGCGAAGGAUGAGAGAGGGAGGUGGUGAUGGAGGAGAGUAGAAGAUAAGCGGAAAGUGGAGGAAAGAGCCAUGGAAUUAGAGUUAGGAAGACUGAUUGAAGGAGAAGAAGGGGUCAUGCCAUGGACGAAUAAGAUGAAGCAGCUCAGCGGGAGAGUAGAUAGGCGAAGGUUUUUCAAAGGGUUUUUGGAUGCAGACAGUGAGGAUUUGGGAGAGUGGGACGACGGAGGUUGAUUUUGGGUUUACGCGCCCGUCUAUGUUUUCUGUAUUUUUAUUUUUUGCUUGGUCAAAAAGAAAUACUAAUUCUAAUCACAACCAAAUCGAAAAUGUUAAUAUUUGAUCAUCUUCUUCAUUUUCAGUUUUCAAAUUGAAUUUUUAUUAUCUAGAUAUCUAAGUUGCCUCUUAAAGAAGAGUUAUCCUAACCCUAUUUUUCGAAACUGUCGCACCAUAAUUCUGCCUUCGUCUUUAUCCUUAUUGCUCUCAUGCACACCACAACCAUGUCGUUGUCUUCUCUUUCUAUUGCUCUCACACAAAUCAUAACCACACUGUCGUCCCUCCCAUCUGCUCCUAAUAAAACAAAUCUCGACCACACUUGCAACCACACAACCAAUGUCUUGUCUCGCCCGCCACACCCUCUACAAACAUCACUGCUUCAGCCAAUCUAGCCUCCGACCACCAUCAUUCAACUACCCCUAACUCUACAGACAGUUGUCGCGGAUUCAUACGAGUGAUAAGAGGAAUCGUAUUGUUCAAUCCAAGUCCAACGUUUGCUCGAUCCGACUACUAUUAGGAAGUUGAGCUUGAUGAAUCAUCCCUUCCAAAAACUUGUCUUCUCCUUCAUAUCAAACCUAAAUUGCUAGUUUUAAUUGAGUUAAUAGAAUAAUUACAUACCAAAAUCAAUUUGUUCAGUCUAGAUCGUGUUGACGAGUCGAGUAAAUGUGUCGUCGAGAUAACUUCGCAGUUAUUUUGGCGAUCAAUAUCGCACCAUUUAAUCGACUUGUUGUGUACAUUGUGUUAUGCAGUCGGGGUGCUGCAAGCCGCCAAGUGAUUGUGGGUUCACGUAUAGAAACCCAACUAAUUGGACCAAAGGCAGUGACCGCUCCACGACGAGAAAUCAAGACUGUCGUUUAGAACAACGACCCGCGCAUUAUGUGCUACGGUUGCGACUCGUGCAAGGCUGCAUUUCUCAACAUGAUCAAGAGCAUGUUGCGGGAAACCAUAAUCUACGGGCUCGUGUUCGUUGGGUUCCUUAUCGUGGUCUACACAUUCGGGUUUAUGGUUUUCAGAGAUAAAAUCUGGCAAGGAUGUGAUACGGUUGCUGGGAGUGCUGAUGGAUCAUGAUUGAUGAUGAUCAAAUGCCAUUAUGGACUGGCUAAGCACGUAAUUUUUAGUUUAUUUAUAUUUCAGUCACUGCUAUCUAAUAGAAUAAGUAAUAACCAAGUGAUAGGUCUGUGACAUUUUAAUAGUUCAAUAGUAUCCGGUGCAAAUUACACAAAGAAGAUUUCGUGGAUGGAAAAGUAAGGUUUUUUUCAAACCUUAAAUCGAGCUUACACUACGAAAAAUAAAAAUGUCAUAAAUAAAAUAUUUGGUGGCCGCUAAUGCAUUCAUUUCGGGGUACAAUAAGCGUUGACCUGGCGACCAGGUUGGGGGUGUACGCGUACGGAGAGUUGUACCGAAGCCAAAUACUCAUCGGGACAAGCCCGUAUGGGAGAAAUAACUUGUUUGUUACCACCUUGAAAGUAUGAGGUGGUUUUGAAAACAUAAAAUAAUCUGAUGAGCAUGCAGUAAACGUUAUAAAAGUUUUGGACAAAACUGGAUAAUUACCCAAGACGCCAGAGCCCAGAAGAACAGGCUCGUUUAGUUACAAAGUUACAAUCUUUAAUUUCCAGAAGGCAGCAGCGGAUUUUGAUAGAGAGGUGUGGAGUCAGUACGAAGGCAGAUAGAUGGAUGAUUUCGCGAAGAAGGUUUCACUAUCUGAUGAAAUGGAGAUCGAAGCUGAGACUCAGGGCUCCUCAAAAUCCUCUGAAACCCUACACAUGCUUCGUAGAUUCCUUCAAAUUCAGCAGCGUAGAGCCCUAGCUUAUGCCAGGCUCAAACGGUACCCUUUCUUUCUUCUACUUCCUUGUCUACCAAUCUCGUUCAAUUCAUGAUAAUCUGAAUCAAAUGAACCCCUAUUAUUGCUUUUGGGCUCUUGUACUGCUUAGAUUGGUUCCCAGUCUAAUGAGGGAAUUAUCAGGUCUUCAAUCUCGAUUUCUGUUGGAAUAAGGGAUCAGGGUUAGGGUUGGUUGAUAUGUCUAAGACAGGAUCUCUACUAACUACUGAGAUCUAAGAUGAACUUGGCUCUGGCAGCAUUUUGAACCAGAUGAUAUGCAUGUUCGAAGAGAAUCAGUAGCAACUAGUUAAUGUUAUUCUGCCUGUAUUUUCAUGUAGACACUGUUAAGCUAUCCCCAACAGAAUAGACUGAAUUGUUCAUUGUGAGAUAUAACUGCACAGAAUGGAAGUAUAUCGAGUCCACUUUGAGCAAAUGUACAUUUUUGGCACUCUCAGGUUCAGGUUCUUUGCAACUUAGGAGAAGAACCUAAUUCUACCUUGCUGAAAAUCUGGAUUAUCAUUCCUUUAGGGUUUUUGUCGUGUGACAUUGAUAUAUUUUUGUAUUAGAUGGGUAUCUCCAUUCGAUCAUUUACCUUAAAACUGUAUGUAUGAUUUUUUCUGCUAUUCUCCUUCAACAGAGGCUUUACUGAAUAUAUGGCUUCAAAAGGGGAGGUGGCUUACCAGCAACUUUGCUCAGAGAUCACAACUGAGUUUAACGACUGCUCAAAACAAGUCUGGCUUACUUUCUUAGCUUAUUUUUUGCAUCACUUUCCGACUAUACGACCUGUUUAAUCGUCUCCUAAACCAAUCGAAAUUUUUCUUCUUUACUUGUGUAGGUCCUGGAAAUCGAGGCCCUAUUUCUGGACCCUGAUCACAGCCGAUCUGAUCUAGCACAGUUGCUGAGAGCUGUUCAAACACAGGAGAAGCUGAAAUUACAACUGGUACAGUCUCGAGCUAACUUCUUUUCACGUACCUUCACGAUUUUUCUACGACUUCCCCGCUGUUUAGUGAUGAACAACUGUUGAUUUGUUUUUUGUCUAAUUUAUGAGUAGACUGCAACAAUCCAACUAUUGAAGAAAGCUGGUCGGCCGUCUGAACGCCUGGUGAGCCAUGCAAAUUGCAGGUUUAACAAGCCUAUGGAACACCAGUGCGUCCACUUGCACGAGAUAACAGAGGAUGAAGGGACCGAAGAAGCAGAAGCAAAUGCAGAAUACGACAAUGCCCUCAAUGAAGCCAUUAGAGGAGUGCAGGAUGCAGUCACUAACAUUAAUGAACACAUAGAAGAAGUCAAGUACGAAAUUGCUGCCAUCGAAAUGGAAUGACACUCCCUUGUUUGAGAAACAGAGUUCCAUACUAAUCUCUCUAUUUGUGAGAUAACCACAAUUUUAGAACACUGGACAGCUCAUAUGAGAGUCUGUAGAAUUUGCCUGUUGCUGUAGUAAACUUGAACAACUUUUUGUAAAUAAAUCAUCCUUCAGUUUCCCUUUCUAGUGGGCAAAAAUUAUUGCUCUAUCCUACAUUUGAAAUUCAUGCCACAAAAUGUAUUUCCCAUAUGUUCAUGAGACUUGUAGCAGAUGAGCCUGGCUCCGUCCUGGUUCUCUGAAGAAUAUGUGGAAAGCAUCCAAUUGAUUCAUAACUGCUGUCAUGACAAAUGCAAGUCGGAAGCUUCAUUAUUGGAAAUAAUUGAAGGAAACAACAAGUCGAAAAUAACUACUGAUCUUUAAGCAUCUUACCUUCUUAAAACAAAGAAGGAAAAGAAUCCCUAUGAAGCUGAAGCAGCUGUAGCUUUGAUCCAGGAGGAGUAUAUACUAUGCUCUUUCACUCUGUACACAUGAAAGAUUAAUCAUGAUUACAAGAUGGUAUCAGCAAAUUACUCAACAUGUCUUAAAUAAUGAUCACAAAGCUAAUUCCGGCAAAAAAGCAAUGAUACAAGUCAACACUACAAGGAAAGAACUAUAAUGUCCACCAGAUAACUGCAACUUACAGGUACAUAUUGUUGGGAUCAGUCUCAGGGAAGAUGUUGACGUAAAAGUGAAAGCCAUCAGGGCUAAUAUCCCUGCAGAGCAAACCUGGUAACCUUUCAGUAGUGGAAUCAACAUUUUCUGCAGUGACAUCAAAUGUUUAGAAAGUUGUGCUUGCUACCUUUGCUCUCAGCAGAGAGGAGAUGCUCUUUGGCCAUCGCUGGAGCGAUACCCAAAGUCAUUGCAGCAUCACUAGCUGUUAUUCCAGACCUAAGAGCGUCUGGCUUUGUCACGAGAGCUUUGAUUCGAGCAAAUACCUAAUCAAACAAGUUUGAAUAACCAAAUAUCAUGAAUUAUUUCAUGUUCAAAACGUUGGGACAUACUAGCUACAUUCCGCGAGCAUGAACAAUACAUCGAAGUUCUGACAUGAAUUUUAUGCUUGAACUUGUUUUUCCCUUUUCCGGGACACAUAUGGAAUAGAACCAAGACAAGACAAAGCUAUUUGAAAAACAGAUUGAAUUUGUCUGGGACAUAGUAGCAAAUGCAACAUAAAUUCUUGUAUAUGAGGAUAUAGUAAUAGAACACCUCUUCAUCGCUGUGGGACUUAUUCUGGAUGACCAUCACACCACUGUCGAAUUUCCGAAGCAUGACGGGUCUGUCAAACAAGAUACAGUCCCACAAAUCAAUGCAAGAAGAUUUCAGCACUAGACAAACUAAUUGAUCGAACAAUUAGUCCGACAAAGUGUAAAACAGAACGUUAGGUGAUGCUGAUAUCAUACAUACACAUCAAACUUCUGCCAAAGAGAGCAUGCUUGCAACAAAUCUUCAGGAGAAAUCAAUUCUGCAUAAACAAAUUAUAAGGAUAAGAUAAUUCACUUAAUCAGGAAGGGAGGAAAAACCUCAUAGACUAAGAUUAGCAUGGUUCCAGAAUUAUAGGAACAUAAAAAACACAGCAAGGUACCUGUGCCACGAGCACGAUUAAAAAGACAGUAGAUGUCUAUCAUGUUGAUCAUUCCUCCUGCUCUUUCAAGUGGAAUGCUAACAAAAUCUGACAACUAAAUGUGAGAGAAAGAUUUAGCUUCCUGUUCUAAGAAGGAAAGUAAAGUUAAUUAAGUGGACAUCCUAGACUUUAGCUACAUGUAGCAAUAGCAAUGGAUGUGAAGAAAGCAUGAUAUGAACUUGUUAAGAACUGAACAAAGUUACUAUCGAGAAUGACAAUGACAACCAGAGACAAAACUUAAUGAAUUUAGUUAACAAGAAAAUUAAAAAGUGAACAAAACCAACCUGACGAGACAAUUGCUGAUGAUACAAGGCACCUGCAGAUUCUUUUGUAACGGGGGAUAUGAUACCAACGCUUAACAACCAAUCUUGCAUCUCCUUGGAACCCAUUUCAUCAUCAUUGGCUGAACUGGUUUGAGAAUUGGAGGCAGAUAAAAGCUUUUGCCUCAUUUUCUCUGCCAGUGUCAUCAUCUCCUUAGCCUUGCUCUGGAAAAUUCAGAAACAUAGAAGCUAUAACAAUUUGAUAAACAGGAAACAUUAAUUCCAUCCCUUAACACACCACAGUCAAGAACUAUCUCCGGUCGCUCCAAAAAUAAGCUAAAAAGACUACGAAUUAUACCAACAGAACAAGCAUAGAGAUUAGCCAUGAUUUCCAUUUUCCAGUCCAUCAUUCACAAUAUAUAACCUUUACUCCCAUAUCAAGGAUGAUUCAAUAGAUAUAGUGUCCAUCCUGUUUCCCCAUUUCAAUUUGAAAUAAAUGGAGGACAAAUUUUGCAGAAAGGAAUCGACAGUACCAUGAGAGCAUUCAAGUCCUGGAAAGCAUCCUGCAAGCUCUUAUCGGUAUUCUCCCACAUCUCUUGUUCCUUCCUCAAAAUCCCAGACACCCCAACCAUCCUCACCGACCCAUCACUGGAAUAAAGGCCACCACCAGAAGUUGAACUCGGUCCAGAAACACUAGCUUCCUUAGACUCAACAACAGAGCUCUCCCAAGCUCUGGCCCUCCAGCUCUCCCACAGUUUAGAGAAGAAUACCUCCCAAUCAUUCCCUUUGCCCCUGACCACCACUGUAACAACAGUACUCCUGGAGUUCAUCGACACCUGGAACCGGAACCUAGGAGAAUGGAACAUUGCCUUGAUUGACUUCUUCGCCGAGAAAAUGUGGGUGACUGAUCCGAGAGGGAUGGCGAUUGCAGGUGCGAUGGUGGGAUUGGAAGGCAGCCAGAGGAGGCGAUGGGUUGUUAAGAUGAGAAGGCCUGAUUUCAGAGGAGCAAAAUCGGAGCUGCUGCUGCUGCUACUGCCAGCGUUGUCUUCCGAUUCGAGGUCCACGGCUGAGAGAAGUUGGCACUCGACCUCGUCGGACUGGAGGACUGGACGGCCGCUUGUUGUGACGGAUGCCGGCGGGAAGAAGUUGUGCGGUGGCGUUGCCAUCUGAGUCUGUGAUCGGUAGAGUAAUUCCCCCGGGUUUGACUGGAAGUGGGUCUCGUGCUCUCGUUGCUGCUCUCGUUGGAAGAGAAGAAAUUGGCGUCAAAAUCUGGCGCAAAUGGAAGUUGGGUCUCAGUUAGCAAUUACUCUACAGUCUCGUCUAUAAGAUUGUAGAUUAGUGACUUAACUUUUUAAAUUUCUUAAUCGAUUCUACGGGUGGUGGGGCAUGGCCGUUCUUAGUUGGUGAAGCUUAAUUCCCUUAACGAACUAGACCUAACCAUGCUAACAGCUACGCGGAGGCAUCUUUCAUGGCCAGCUUCUUAAAGGAAAUAUGGCCUUUUAGGCCGAAGAAAUUUGAGGCGAUACAAGUCUGUGACGCCCCUAAAUGUUGUCAGCCGCACGCAAACUUAAUCGUAGACAUGUGAUCAACAAUCUUAAGAGCUAUAUUGAUUUGUCAUUUGAAUCUUUUUGGAAUAGCGAAUGCAACCCAUUGCAGUUUCAGUCAAAACAAUUUCUAUGCACAUCGACUUCCUGAAACAAACAUCGGCAAGAGCAAAGCUUUAAGCUUUAAGACUUGCCACAACAGAAAAGCAAGCUAUCACAAGUUGGAAUCAUAUCCUUUACUGAAUACCACCUGACCUACAACAAUAUAGUUUGCUCAUCCUUCAGCGAAAUCAUUCGUAGCCACAACCAGGCAGGCUAAUCCAACCAUGAAGGAUCCUAAUGAUCAUCAAGGGAAGAAAUAAUAACGAUAUGAUUCUGAAGAAGAUAUAGAGCAACAGAUCUCAGGCAUUUAUAUUUCUCUAAACACCAAAAGACUAGCGUUACUGUAAAUCCAAAUAAACUGCCAGAAAACUCAUAAACUUCAGUUGCAAGUGAAACAAUAUCUCCAACCUCCAAAAACUACACUGAAACAAAACUUAGGAUAACAGAACAAUUCUGAAAGCAAAGGCCAAUGAAACUAUUUCUAAUCGAACAGGGAGAAACCCAUGUCAUCAUCGCUCUCCUCCUUGGCCUCCUCCUGCAAAACCAAUUAGAAACAAGAUCCCAGUAAAAAAAUGCAAAAAAUUCGAGCUAACAGCGACAAACAACAAUCAAAAGUUGACUAAAUUUACCUUCUUUUCCUCAGCAGCAGGGGCAGCAGCUGCAGCAGGAGCAGCACCACCAGCUGGGGCAGCGACGGCAGCAACAGCACCACCGCCGGAAGCACCAGCGUUCAAGAUGAGGUCCUCAACGUUACGCUUCUCAGCCAACUUGGCGAACAAGCUGGCCCAGUAAGACUCACAGUUGACAUUAGCAGCCUUAACCAAUGCGCUGAUCUUAUCCGCCUAUCAACAAACAAGACAAAAAAACCCUAAGCUCAUCUAGCUAAACAGAACAAUUGCAGACAAUGGUAUAUUGGUAUAUAAUCAUCAUAGAGAGUUAUAGAGGCGUACUGUGAUAGGGAUGCCCUCGUCGUGGAGGAUCAUGAUGGCGUAACUGCAGGCAAUCUCUCCGGUCGACAUUCUUUUCGAUAGCUAACAAGAAACGUUGAAAAAGAGAACGGAAAUCAAUAGAGGAUCGAAACCAUAGAAGAAUAUUCAAACUAUUAGGACGGAGAAAGAGUUAAAGAGGAGUGUAGAGGUAGAACGGCGAAGGACGGCGAUAAACUUACGUUGAUGAGAACGGCGGAAGAGGAGGAGUGCUCGGCGCUGCAACUGAAGCUAAUCUAGGGUUUCAAUAGCAAGGGCUUCCUCGUUGAGCUACGAUGUGAAAUAUAUACAUGAAAGGCAAGGGAGUUGGGCUUGUCCUCACGUUAUGUGCUUCAAUACUGAACGACUGCCAGGCCAGGCCCAUCAAUCGAGUUUCGCAUUAAGCCCAAUACAGAUGGCCAGUGUUUAAAUCAAUCAAUUUACUGACUCUCUAUUCAGACGGCGUUGUCCAGCCCAUUUCACUUCCUUUCCAAAAUUAUUUUUCAUUGUUAUCCAAAGUAGAAAAAUAAAAUGUUCGUUAGAUGUCGUCUGUAUUUUAUUAUGCUACAUUCUCUAUAUUAAGAAAAAUAUUAUGUGUGAUGUUUUAUUCAUCUGAAACGAAAAUAUUCACAAAGGAAAAAGUCGAUAUCAAAAUGGCGAGCUGAUUUUGCGGUUAAAACUUUUCAUUACUAUCACAACACGAGAUAAAUCUCAAUGAGAUACCCACUCAAAUAAAGAUGACGACAUUCCAAACUCAUUUAACCGAAAAAGAAAACAAAAAGAAACUAUAACAACAAAAAUCCAGAUCCAAAAGCCAAAAAAACUAAAAACUGAAGGAAACUAAGACAACAAGAAGAAAACCAAAAUAGUGCAAAGGAAGUGGAAAAGGUUCGUUGGAUUGGAUGGGAAACUCGCAGGAUUGCACGAACCCAGUCUAUACAACCUUUGUAUAGUCAAUUUGGUGGAUUAGCUUGAUGGAUACACCUAUCCAUUAUAAGAUGUAACUGAAUCGAAUCAUGAAACAUCCAAAUUACUAACAUACGACUCUACCAACUUAACUAUCCCAUUUAAACAUCAUCAAAAUAACCCUACAUUUUAAUUUCAUGACUUCGAUUGAUGUGUAUAUUAUGUUUACAGGUGUUUGUUGUCACUAACACAACUACAGGAGUUGGAAUUAAAUUAAAAAUAAAGAGUGGGUUGAAUAUUUGAAGGUACCGUAUGAGAGCAGAAGAGAGAGCCAAAAGUAGUAAAAUGUAAUUGGACAGAACAAUAAUGGCGAGAGAGUGAAAGACAAAGGGACAGACGCGAUCCCCUUAUCUUCCUUCUUUAUGGUAAGCUUUCCCCCCCUUUAUUUUCUCUCUGUUUCCUUCAACUUUCACACAUCAAUUUGCAGAGAAGAGCUUAGGUUUAUACAGCCUUUUUCUUUCUUCAACUGUCGGUUUCUACCACAGCUACACUAGCCCUGCCAGCGUUGUCUUCCGAUUCGAGGUCCACGGCUGAGAGAAGUUGGCACUCGACCUCGUCGGACUGGAGGACUGGUCGGCCGCUUGUUGUGACGGAUGCCGGCGGGAAGAAGUUGUGCGGUGGCGUUGCCAUCUGAGUCUGUGAUCGGUAGAGUAAUUCCCCCGGGUUUGACUGGAAGUGGGUCUCGUGCUCUCGUUGCUGCUCUCGUUGGAAGAGAAGAAAUUGGCGUCAAAAUCUGGCGCAAAUGGAAGUUGGGUCUCAGUUAGCAAUUACUCUACAGUCUCGUCUAUAAGAUUGUAGAUUAGUGACUUAACUUUUUAAAUUUCUUAAUCGAUUCUACGGGUGGUGGGGCAUGGCCGUUCUUAGUUGGUGAAGCUUAAUUCCCUUAACGAACUAGACCUAACCAUGCUAACAGCUACGCGGAGGCAUCUUUCAUGGCCAGCUUCUUAAAGGAAAUAUGGCCUUUUAGGCCGAAGAAAUUUGAGGCGAUACAAGUCUGUGACGCCCCUAAAUGUUGUCAGCCGCACGCAAACUUAAUCGUAGACAUGUGAUCAACAAUCUUAAGAGCUAUAUUGAUUUGUCAUUUGAAUCUUUUUGGAAUAGCGAAUGCAACCCAUUGCAGUUUCAGUCAAAACAAUUUCUAUGCACAUCGACUUCCUGAAACAAACAUCGGCAAGAGCAAAGCUUUAAGCUUUAAGACUUGCCACAACAGAAAAGCAAGCUAUCACAAGUUGGAAUCAUAUCCUUUACUGAAUACCACCUGACCUACAACAAUAUAGUUUGCUCAUCCUUCAGCGAAAUCAUUCGUAGCCACAACCAGGCAGGCUAAUCCAACCAUGAAGGAUCCUAAUGAUCAUCAAGGGAAGAAAUAAUAACGAUAUGAUUCUGAAGAAGAUAUAGAGCAACAGAUCUCAGGCAUUUAUAUUUCUCUAAACACCAAAAGACUAGCGUUACUGUAAAUCCAAAUAAACUGCCAGAAAACUCAUAAACUUCAGUUGCAAGUGAAACAAUAUCUCCAACCUCCAAAAACUACACUGAAACAAAACUUAGGAUAACAGAACAAUUCUGAAAGCAAAGGCCAAUGAAACUAUUUCUA
rnacentral:lncRNA from 1 species